CAGUAUCAAAGGCUUUGCUGAAGUCAAGUUAGACCACAUCAACAGCCUUUCCCUCGUCCACCAGGUGGGUCACUCAAUCAUAGAAGGGGAUGAGGUGGUCAAGCAGGACCUGCCUUUCACGAACCCAUGUUGCUGGACCUAAUCACCUGUUUGUCUUGCACAUGCCAUGUGAUCGCACUCAAGGCGAUCUGCUCCAUAACCUUCCCUGGCAUCGAGGUCAGGCUGACAAGCCUGUAGUUCCCUAGAUCCUCCUUACGACCCUUCUUGUAGAUGGGAGUCACACUGGCAAGCCUCCAGUCCUCUGGGAUCUCUCUGGUUGACCAGGACCAUUGGUAGAUGAUGGAAAGUGGCUUGGCAAUCACCUCCACCAGCUCCCUCAGCACAUUUUAGGUGGAGCCCAUCCGGCCCCAUGGAGUUGUGACAGUCCAGGUGGAGUAGCAGGUCUCAUUGUUUCUUCCUGAAUCACGGGGGGGUUAUUCUGACCCUUCUGUCCUUAUUGCGUGGGCUGAUCUGAUAUGCAGUGCAUAUUUUCACUGUUAAAUUAUGCCUGGAAAGUUUUGACCUCUAGCAUUUAAUAGGAGCUUGUAUGUUAAGUAUGGAAAUAUUCUGUAUUGUUACAGCAUAUACUCCAUCAAGGAGCAGUGUCUGAGUCCACUUGUUACAGAGCCUGGGGAGGUUUCCCUGUUCCUCGGCAGCACCACGGUGUUUUGCACUUGCCUGUUGCACUGGAGAUGGCUUUCAUCUGUGCACGUAGAAAACCUGGAUUUGCUCUUAGCCAGAUGAAAAUAAUGGAUCACUUGAAAGAAUAUUGCCAAGUAUUUAUUGCUGCUCACCAGAGGAUAAUUUCAAUAGGAAUUUAUCAUAUUUAUUCAGCAGAAGACUAAUAAAUUCAGAUUUGUUUAAACAAAGACUUGAGGAAUAAAAUGCUAAAUGCUUAUGGUUAUUUUCAUUGCAGACAUAAGCUUCUCCAUUUCACUCAGUGUGCUUGUACCUGCUUAUGUCACCAAUUAAUUUGGCUCUUAAUAUCUUAUUUUGAGCACUUUACUCUCUUUCCGUUGGGUACUGCAAGUUAUGUUUAUCCCUGAUGCAAGUCUAUUGAGGAUAAUGGCAUCUCUGAUGCUUUCUGGCUUUGUAUGGAUUUAAUUUAUUGUUGUGGCAAAGUCUAGAUAAAUAAAAACACUAUUUUGAGAAAGUGUGAUCUAAUAUGCCGAACUUCAUCAGGAAAUGUCUUGCAUAUGAAUUCUGUGCAGUGCUUAGGGCUUCGAAUUGUUCACCUUGUCUGUCUUUUUUUCCCCUUAUUUAACAACAGACACAAAGCUUAAUGUGUGAAAGAUAUUGGCAUUUAGUAACUACACUGAAAAUACUGUAUAGGGAAAGCCCGUGCAAGGGCAUUAGUUAAUUAGCUUGAGAUUUUUGUUGGCAAAUUACUCUAAAUACAAAGAAACCAGGAAGGAAAUUGUUGGCCAAAUGGUGAAUGGGACCACGUGUGGAAUGGGUGAGGGACUGCCACAGUUUUUGCCUGAUUUGUGGAAGUUAGUUUUUGGGGCCUGCAGAAUAGAGAGGGUUAACGAUGUUCAGGAAGGAAAAGGGAUGGUGACCUUUUCUAUGUAAAAUAAUGUUGAGGAAUGCCAUGCAUGUUAACCUGAAAAGGCCAGUUGUUGACUUUCUAGGAAACGUUUGCAUGUGUUGGUGGUUUCUUUUUCUAUUUUUCUGUGUCCUGGGAGUGAAUCGUGUUUUUUCCACUCUGUUUUUUAACUGAAAAAUUUAAAAAUCUUUUUUAUACAGAUGGUUGGGAAGCUGUGCAAGCUUUUAUAGGACAUAAAUAACCCCGUGCAGAUGAAGUGAGUGAACCAGGUGACAGAAGUGACAGAUCCCUGUGCCUUCAAAUCCUUCUCAAAAAAAUCCCAACUAUUAAUGUGACUAACAUGUUGGUUUCUUAGUGUGAUCUCCUCUGUACGUGGGUACUGUGCUUUCUGAGAUCCCCGGUAGAACAAAGUAACAGGUGUCUUGAUUUGAUCUUGGCUUUGGCAAAGUGUGGUUUUGCCAGCCAGCUACCCAGAGCAGUGUUAAUGUGCAUGUAUAACCCUCCUCAGUGCCUUCAGCUGUUUUGGUCUCACUGCAGUAAAUGCACAGCUUUUUAGUGCUGUUUUGAAAAGGGACAAACUAUUUUUGUUCGAUGGCUCCCAAUUUGCUCCAAGCGUGCUGUGACCUCUGCCAGUCUCUGUGCAUUAACAAAGUUUUUUAAGGCUUUACGGACACUUUCCAUUAGCCAUGCCAUAGCUGCUGCCAUGAAUAUUUAAUACCAAGAGCAGUACUUUGUAUUGUUAUUGUUAUUUUCUUUGAUAGCUCUCCUUUGAUAAAAGCAAAUCCUUUCACCCUGAGCAGGCAGCGGCCAGCGUGCACAGCUCACAUCUUCUGCACCCCCUCCCAUUUUGAGCUGUAGCUGUGAAAAUUUUACCCUAAUGCCACUGUGGUCUCAAUAUAUUAUUUUUUAUUUUUUUCUCUUCCUCCCUCCUUUUUUUUCUGCAGUUUGCAAGGCCUAACCGCCUUCUCCUCCUCCUUCCUGCUCCUUCCUUCACAGCCCUGCUGAGCUCUACAUGGUGCCAUUUUCGGACAGGACUUCGGGUUGAACUCUCUCGAGCACCACAGCUGCCCGCAGUGGCUGAAACCCCACUAGCUUGAGGCACAGGCCCCUUUCUCCCUGCUGCAGAUGCAGAUUUUUUCCUGUUUUUAAGUUACCGUCUUCCAACAGGAAGUAUAUGUCCCCACUGCUAAAGUUGAUUUAGGGGUUUUUUUAGGUGCAAGCUCUGAAAAUAAUAGAGUGGAAACUUAUCAAUACAUUAUCCUUGCUGAACACACCUCUCAAUUGUUCUUGUUUUUGUUGGGCUUGUUUUACUUGAUUUAGGGACCUGGAUACCCCCCCCCCCCAUAAAUCACUUGGCCUCAUUGUUUAGCAUCUGUGCUAUCUCAGCUUUGCACAGUCUGUAACAGGGAGCACUGGAAACACAUCCAAAAGGCAAAUCGAUGAGGUUGGAUGGCAAAGCUGCCACUGUUGGUUUUGGCUCUUAGUGUAGGUUUCCUUUAAUACAAGUCUGGGGCUGAAGCCCGGGUGUUUUAUGUGAACUACAGUCACCAGUUGACAUUUCUACAUGUGUGCAUCCUGUUCAAUGUGUAGGUGCCCACAGGUUUGAAAGCCCCAACUGGCCCUUCUGCAGAAGUUUUUUCCCACCGCUGCUGUGUUGCAUUUGUGUGCUUAGGAGCGUGUCACAUCCUAGGGUUGCUGAGAUUUGAGAGAAACUGGACCGCACGCUGUCAUUAUUUCAGCCUAGCACAUGCACACAGUUAUUUCAGCUAUCGUCUGCUGGGGUGAGAACACAGAACUGAUGGUGAUCUGUGUGGAGAAGCGUUGUACUGGUUAGAGACAUCUUUCUGCUGAAGAUCUUUUUAUUAAAUUAUUAAUCCAGUUACAACUGAGGCUCUGAAGGCCAGACCAGCCUGCACUGGUUUGGUGUUAGGGUGGGGUUGAAUGAUUUAAGCAGAUUUUGCUGAUAGUAGAAGAAAGGCUUGGAGGCAAGAGGCUUUUCCCUUCAGUGUAUUCCUGGUGAUUGGAGCAUCCGGAAGGCUUUAUUCUCCAAAUCCCAUGGCAAACCCACAUCCUUUGUGUCUCCUGCUCCAUUUGAUCCACAGACAGUUUGAAAACCCUUGUUUUGCAAAUUGGUUCCUGAAGCCUUCGAUGGCAGCCCUGACGUUAAGGGGUGUCCUAACGCUGGGAGCCGCAUCUGCCAAACAUUUCUUGAAUGCUGCUGUGCUGGGAUGUGAAAACUGAAAUGCUCAUUCUGGGCCUGGGGGCUUGCAAGAGGGGUGAGACCAUGCUCUGCAAAGCCUACUUAAAAUUUCACAAUUUGCUCCGCAGGUUAAGUGAUAGCUCUGAGGCAGCAAACACAUUUCUUCUGCCUCCUUCAGCUCCAAAUUAGCUCCCUUUUCCACAGACCCAGCGAGCCAGCAGCUGCUCAUCCCCGAGGGUACAGCCGUGCAGUGAGGGGUGGAGGGAGCACUGCUGGUGUCCCUGUCACCCUAGGCCUCUGGGUGGGGAGAGAGGGAAGGAUGUUUCUCCUUUGCAGCUUCAGGAUAGGAGAGCCAUCUGUGUCCUGUGGGUGUGAAGUACAGCGAAGUGCCGGCCUCUUUAAGCUGUAUUGCAGGUGAAUAUUUAACUGUGGCUUCAGGCUUUUCUUUCCAAAAAUGAAAGCAAGAAUGAUUCUUGGGCAGAAAAUUGUUAAGGAGAGUAAAGCAUUACUAGAAAGCAGGUGGUGGUCCUAUCAUGGAGCUAAAGGUUGCUUGCUUUGCCAUGCAUACAGCCUUUGUCUCCUUGCAGGGAUCCCCCAUCACCCACGGUGUGCUUCUAUUUCAGAUUAAACUGAUUUUGAGUCAUUUUAUUUCCCUUGGAAUUAGAGACUGAGAGCCUGUGCUUAUCUCUGUCUGUGCCAAGGCAGGAACAAGGCCUGAGUGCAGCUUACCUGGGGGAGCUGGGCUGCUUCCUUGCAGUGUUGCACUUUUAACCCACUGUCUCUGACUUGGACUUGAAUAACAAAAACACGCUAACAAGCUCCUCUCUUUUUAAUUACAUUGACAGGACAUGCACUGGAAACAGCGAGGUUUUCCCACUCUUCCCUAGUCCGUCCCUGGGGGAGAACGUCUCUGAUUGCUUAAAGUUGGUUUUCCCUAAACGAGAGUUUCCUAACAAUUGGGACACUUCCGUCAUUGUUCUAGCCUUUUAUUCGAGAUAAUAUUAAGAGACAUCAUAACAUCACAGUGUCAGAGCAAACAAAGCGCUAUGUAAUUUUAUCCCAUAUUAAUGCAGAGUGUCGCAGAUGGUGCUAUCAUUAGACAGCAAUCUAUAAAAAUGGCCCAUGAGACAAAGCCCUGGCACAAUUAUUUAUUCUUCAAUUAUUUAUUCAGCCCUUUAGGAUGUGUAAUACUGACAGACAGCACAGAAUGUGCUGCCUACCAAUUUGCAGAUCUUGACUGACUGAGCCCUCCAUCAUCUACGGAAUAAAACAUUUGUGGGGGAGGGGGAUGCAUCAUGGCCUUGGCUUUUAUUUUCUGCACGUUUUCUUGCUUACUGACUGGUUUUGGGGUUAUCUCUCCAAGCAACCUCUCCCACCCCGAUUUUCACCUUUUUUUGUGGUUAAUUGUGAGGAAGACCUAGUGAGCUCAGCUCGAGGUUCCCAGUCUCUUGUGGGUUUGGGACUGGGGUUAUCUCCCCCGGGCUCACAUCAGCUCAUUGGCUGGGGCAGACUAAUGGGCCUGUCCUCUUGGGGAGCUCUGCCCUCCCUGCUGAUGGGUUUUGCAAUGGAUUCUGUAUGGACCUGGUGGGAAGCAGGCUGUGACCUUCUGAUUGCCAGUCAGAUUAAUGCGUGGAGAUGCAGGCUCUUUGGGUUAAGGCUGUAAAGCCUGAGACGUUGUGUGCUCCUGACAGCUAUUACUGUUGCAGCGGCAUUUAGGGAGAGAAGUUUAUCGCCUGCCAAAUUUUUACUGUCACUUUACUGUCAAAAUGAUGUCACUGCCAUCAAAAGGAACGUGUCUGCCUCCGACUGUACCUUGGCCUCCCUGUGAUAAGACAAAUAUUGCUGUGGUUGCCCAGUGAACCAGAACUGGGACUGAUCUUGUUUGAUGCUAACGAUGUUGUUACCGAUUUAGUUUUAGGCUUCGAGUGGCUGUGAAACUGCUUAAGUGUAAUCGUCUAAAAUGGCUUAGAUUCAUCUGGAAAAAUCCUCCUAAGCAGCUCUAUUAUAUUCUACUGUAUUAAUGAGAACUUUAGUUCUCUUGCGUAUUAGAGUCCCCAUCAAAUGCAAAUGUAUCUGCCGCCAGCAUCUCCUUUCUCUUCCCUGCACAGGGUGCUUGGGUCCGUCCCAUUGGCGUGUGAAUGGUGCGGCUCCUGCCUGUGCACACCUGAACCUGCUGUCCCAAAGGCAUCCUUCUGCUUUGUUUAGCUUCGUUUUGCUUCUCUUUUCUUUCUUGGAUAAAUCUGUAGCAUUCUCUUGCCUUCCCCAUAGCGCUUCUCCCCACACCUGUAAUAAAAAUGACCAAUGGCCCUCUCACCCAGAGACACAGUUUCAGUUAUUGAUAGAUGAUGCUAUGUGUCUUUCAAGCUGUAAAAUCCAGCCCAGCCCUUUCAUUUGAUGGCAGGUCCUUCUGGCAAGCCCAUUGUAUGAGGCUAUAUUGUGGGCCAGUGGAAGUCACCUCCCAUUUGUUAAUUUGCUGGUAAAUCUAUAACGAGUGGCUUGUAACAGACAAGAUAAAGUCUCUAAUUAGAUUAGCUUGUAAUUUCUAAAGUGCCUGGUUUAGAGAGCUAAGUUAGCUCAUUUUGUUCCCGGUGAGAUAGGAUCUCGUGGUAGUUCUCUGUAAUUUAAGUCAUUUCUCAACUCCGCAAGCAGCCUGGCUCUGAGGAGCGCGCCGGGCUCGCGCCGCUGUUUGGCGGGCGCCCAACGGCGGGAAAGGAGCCGCGCCGCACCGAGCUCUGAGGGCUCUGCCUGCCGCGCUGCCCCCUGUGUGUGCCCGCGUCGGGAGGGGCAGGGUCUGGGGAGCGGCUUGUGCCGAAUUCGUGGCUCUUGGGAGGGUGAAGGGGAAAGCACGCCGCUAGGAAAGGCGUGAGUGCGUGCGCUCAGUCUGCGUUAGAUGUUCAUCUGGUGUUAAGAAGAAUAUACUGAGCGACACCGGCAGCUUGACUUAAGCGUAGAAACUCACGAUGCAGCCUGAAAAUCUCUGCUGACACGCAGGCUUUAACCGAGGCGGUUGUGCCAAAAGAGCCAGAAAAGGCUUAAUGGCAGGAGAUAAUGCUGCCGUGUCAGCACGCAUUUUCAGCCCUAGCUGUGAAUUUCCUGGCUUUUGUGUGCUCGAGUUAAACCCUGAUGUUAGUAUCCCAUCACCCCCUCCAAAUGAGUACCCUCGGACAAAGGCAGGAGCGGAUCCCGGCGCUGCUGCUUGGCGGGGGAGGCAGCGGGUGACGACGUGCCGCGGGCAGGGACCGAAACCGCUGCCGUGUGGGUCAGCACGGGCAUUCCUGGGCAGCUCUUCCCAGAAAAUGAGCUUUGCUUUGUGGAUCGAUAGCUGGAGCUAAUGAGUCCCUGGGACUCAGGCUGGUAAUCUUUGUGCCCUUGCUGAUAGCAAAAUACACACAUGUGCUAAAAAUCUCUCUUCAAACUUGUUUGGUUGCACUUUUCUUUAACAGAUGCGGACUGCAGCCAGCCACGCUGCUAUUCACAGCAACUGCCCAGUCUAAUUACUGUAGCACUUCCCCGUUUCUUUGUGUAUCUGGCUGUUUACUCCUUGCACCCUGCAGGUGGGUGUGCUCCAUCAGCCCCUGUUCCGUUCUGGGAGCUGGAAGUGCCACCUAAUUCUCCUGGAGCGCAGUAACGAUGCCACGCGGGGCAUCCGCGUGCUAAGAGUGCACCAUCAUUUUGACAGCACGGAAACGUGAAGUAUUGGGCAGAAUAACAAAGACACCUAGCAGCAUUUCAGCGAUAGUGGGAUUUGGCCUUGAGGCUCUGAUUCUGUGCAGGAAUCCGUUCGGUCUGAUCCCCAGGUGUCCCGCUGACUCAAUCUCCUUUAACAAGAAACAUUCAAGAGGAAGGAAAAGGAAAUCUUCCACUUGAACUCGAGUUGUAACUGGUGUGUGAGUGAAUCCAUCUAAUCCAGCAAAGCAGGGGCAGAAGGAAGGGUUUAUCUUCUGCCCCAGCCAAGCACUUCUCAAUGUCUGCAGUGAGAAAACAGGCACGAGCACCGCGUUCUUGGUAAUCCACCCUGUGCGUGUGCCUCGAGGCAGCCCUGGGACACACGCACACUGUUUGCCAGCCCCCCAGGCAUCCUGGAGGGGCCUGGGGCUGCCCCAUCCCAAAUGUGGGGUGACGCCGGUUGGGGCCCCCCACCAGGUAUGUGCAGUGACAGUGCUAGGGCUUGACGUGGUUUGAGGUAUGGGCUGGAUAUCAGCUAUGCAGGCUGAAUAAACUGGAUGCAUUAGAUCACAGCAGCCGUUUAUUACGCAAGAUGUGUGAGUGUUGCAGGAGAGAAGUGAGUGCCCCAAGGUGCAGUUCUCAUCCUGACAUGGCAUUAAAAGAUCAGUCAGAUGGCUCUGGCCUCAAAGCUUGUUCAUCAGCUCUGCAGAAAUCCUGCCUGACUGGCUGGGAUUGCAGGUGCUGGGUGAGGAUGGGAGCUGUACCUGGAUUGUAUGCAUCUAAUUACGGGUUUGGGAUUGUGUUUAGAGCCAAACUAGGCACAGGUGGUGCUUUCAUGGAAGAACAAAUAUUUCUGUUUCCACUGACUGUGGAAAUGCCACAUACUGAGUUUGCCUGGAAAAUGAGUGUCUUUCAAGUGUUAUUUGUUUUGGAUGUCGUUCUGGGGCAAGGUUCAGUUCAGAGAUGCCAGCUCCUUUAGCAUCACAGAUUUCCUUCCCCCGGUGGCUUUGUCUUGGUCCCAUCCUCACAUGAACUUGGAACACGCCUGUGUGCAUGUAGGACCCUCCGCUUGGCCUCCCCAUGGAGCUGCCACCGUGUCCUUGGUAUUAGGUGGCCUUGUGGCUAAUGGCCUGUGGGCAUGAGAGUGGGCCAUGAAUCUGGUGCAAGUCCCAGGCUCUGUGAGCAUGUUGAUUUAUGGAUCCCAUCUCUAAAAACUGCUGACCGCGGUAGCUGUGUGCUGCUUUCUGUUAGGAGUGAUGCUUGCAGUCCGGAGUGGUGAAUACAGGACAGUAUCCACAGUUAAUUAUGGUGUAGGAAAUUAAUUUUCCUUUUUUUCAGUAAAAUUUGAAAGGUGUGCAGACAAUCUGUGCGGUGGUGACUGGAGGCAUGGGGACAAAAUCUUUCCAAACACCAGUUCUCCUGUAAAUAGCCUUGGCCCGCAUCAUCCCGAGUGGAUGGAGCCUAUGGCCCCAUCUUCCCAAGAGAGGCAGGAGUUCCCCCGUACAUCUAGCUGCCGUGCAUAUGUACAGAUCAUGUUUUCAGUAAAAGCAUGUUAUGUGAAACCCAGAUGUCAGUUAGAUCCCAUGUAUCUGCCCAAAUACCUCAUAGGUGGAUUGAAGCAGCACCUCAGCUUUGUGCUGACCCCGCGUGCCGGUGAGGAUUUCCUCCCGGGGAAGCAGGGAGAGCCUGAGGGAGCAGAAAUGUUAAGAGCCUUCAUUUCACUUGAUCAUUUCUCAGCUUUCUGCAGCAUUUCCUUUAUCAGGAAAAUUGGGAAAAAAAUCUAUCUUCAGCUGGCGCCCUGGCAGAGCAUGAGCCCUUCUCCCUGCUGCAGGAGCUGAACCCUGGGGCAGGAUGGUCGUGAGCAGCUGAAGGCAGCUGGAGCAGCUGGUAUCAAAGCAGGGUUUGCUCUGCACAUUGUGGAGCCUGAAGCUUGUUAUGUGCACAGGCUUCUGCGAGGAUGGGACACUGCAACAGGCAGCGCCAAUGUUGGUGUAUGGGCAUGGUGCAGCAAGCCCAGGAAUGCAUUCUCCCUCACCUGGUGUCAGGAGAAAAGGCUUGAGGUGCCCUCCCCCUCGAACUGGGGUCUGCAGGAAUGAUUUGAAAUAAGUAAUGUGAGCUUUGGUUUGGGGGAAAGUCAGGGAAUGAGAGUGGAAGGGAAGAUUUCACUGGGCACGUGGAGUGUGGGGGGAAAGGGAAGCAGCAGUGUGAGGUGGGGAUUGAGCAGGCUGCGAGUGGUGGGCUGCUGCGGGAGGAUUAGAGCACUAAGGGCUUCGGUAUCUCUGAAAUGAGAAAAAAAAUCUCGUGUAUUGUACUCGUGUUCCUGAAUGAAACUGUUUUACAGUGGUUCUGCUAAAAGGUUUUAGCACCAGAGAGAGAAUGGGAAUGUUUCAAUUCUCUUUACAAGGGUAGUCUAUUUGUAUUAAUUCUUUUGUGUUGCAUUGAAGGGAAUUUCCUGGCAAAAUGUCAUUUGAAAGGAUUAUUUUAGAGUUUAAAUGUGUCUUGCCAAUCCCUUCUUUCUUUUCUUCAUCUCCAAGAAGAGGAAAGGAAUGUAUGCUGAAAUAAAUUUUUGCUUCCUAUCUAUUCAGGGGCAUGUGAUUCAAAAUUAAUUCAAAAAAAAAAUUAAGACUUACAGAAUGGAAAACAUUUGCUCCUGCAGUUCAGUGCAGCUGAAGCAGUGCGUUGUAUUUCCAUUGCCAUCCAUCACGUGUGGUUUGAGGUUCUAGGACACAGAUUUACAGCCAGGAGAAGGUAGAAGCUUGGCUUGGAUGCUCUCUUCAUUAGCCAGUCUCGUCCAGUUCUCACUUCACAUCUACUAUCCUUGUGAUGUCAUGUUUAUUGAGAUUUGGAUGUAUGUAAAUUCUGCAAACCAAUCAUGAAUUGUAAGUGAAUAAUAAUUUUCAUUUUGAUUUUGUACAGAACUUUGACGCACUGAAAUUAGACUGUUAUUGCAUUCUAUUUUUAAUAUAUUUUAAAAAGAAGGGAAAAUAAUAUGUUACUCAUUGAAUUUCAUAAAUGGUUUCAUAACUGUUAGUGGUUGUAAAAUGAAAUAAACUUGAGCGAGGAAUAACAGAUUCCAUUGUAUCACUUCUGGCAGAAGACAAGCAGUACUGCAAGAUGUACUUCACAGAUGCUGCAGUCUGGCAAAACUUUUGUCAUAGGCUAUCCCUCAUUUCUCAUACACUUGAGACCAUACUGUGGUCUUUUAGUAAUAGCUUACGAAGAGAUGGAGCAGUGAGGAGUAUGGCUGGGGCUUAGUGCCACCUGACCUGCUGGCUCUGGAACCUGAGGCUGUGGUUAGGGAGCUGCAGCUUCACGGCUGGGGCUGCCCGGUUUUUAAGGUUCAGUGUUGGUUUUGCCACUGUCCUUCUGCUAUGUUCAGUAACCAAGGACCGUGAGACCGUGACUGUGUAACACAUUUGUUUCUUAAGAAAAUACUUUCAGCUUGCUUCUAUAUUGAAGUUCUCUGAUAACUUCUGGCCCUGGAGUUGGAGCAGGGGCCAGCAGCAGUUCUGGUGAGGUGCAACAGUGGAGUCCUUGCUCUGACAAGGUCCCAGUGUCCUUCAGAUGUAGGUACAGCUCCUGCCCUACCAAAAUAAGAUCACCUGGUAAGUAAGUGUGCUGUUCUCUCCCAGUAAGAUGCAUUCUCUGCUGUGCAUGUCCAUGUUUUCCUUGUGGGAAGCUGCCGAAGCUUCACAGCGGGUGCUGUCAUUCAGGUAGGGUAUCCUGUGCAGUGUGGAUAGAGCUCUCAUUUACCAUAAUGGGUGACUUUGGGACUUCAUAGAACCAUAGCAUAGACUGGGUUGGAAAGGACCAACAGGGAUCAUCAAGUCCAACUCCUGGCUUCACACAGGACCACCCAAAAAUGAGACCAUAUGAUUGAGAGUGUUGUCCAGAUGUUUCCUGAACUCUGGCAAGCUUGGAGCCAUGACCACUGCCAUGGGGAGCAUGUUCCAGUGCCUGACCACCAUCUUGUGAAGAGCAUUUUCCUAAUAUCCAACCUGACCUUCCCCUGAGGACUUAAAGCCUCUGGACAGAAAAGUUAUUUUGCAUAUUUUCUUCAAAAAGCCAGUUUUCCUCUGAUGCAUUACAUCAUCAUUUCCUUCCCACAACAGGGGCUGCAGGCACAAAGAUAUGUUCUUUGCUGGCGCAGACAUGGGACUGUUGACUGAUGUCCAGGAGAUAGCACACUACCCAUUUUGCUUGUGAUUUUUAGGAAAUAGUUCCUUAGCAAUAGGAGAAAAAGUAAAAAUAUAGCUUGGAAAGUCUGAAAUGCACGCAAGGCCCUGCUGGUCCAGCAGCCACGCAGAGCACGAGGCAAGAUUCUUCUGCGCCAGGGUCAGGUCUGCGCCUUGUGCUGGGGCUCAUGGAUGAUGGUUGUUCAAUAACGGUGUGGCUGAGAAACUCCAUUGGGCUUUCAUUCUGUAUUUAUCGGAAGGAGCCAUAUAGAGCUGCGUAAACAAACAAAAAAAAACCCCUUAAUUUUAGGAGCAAUUAUUCAAAAAAAGAAAGAAAAGCAAACCAAAGGAAACUGUGCAAAAUACGUUUUUGUUUCCAAGGGAAACAGUAACGAGAAAGAGUUAGGUCAUUGCGGGAAAAAAAAAACCAACACAUAGAGAACCCUAUUUUAUCAAGGACGUGGAAACAGAGCUUAUCUUUUUGGGCAGCUUUGCCUAAUAGAUAAAGCCCUGGAUUGGAAGUGGGUUCAAAUCCCAGCACUGCCAGAGAAUUUUUGUCAACUUAGACCUAUCAGUUUGUGCCCUUGUAAUUUCUUAUUGCAAAGGGAAGAUAACACGUUGUCCUCCGAGAAGUGUUUACAGUAAAAGUAUCAGUGCCCACCCCUGCAGAGGUUCGAGGGCUGUGCCCAUGUGUGGCAGGUUGCCCUGCUCACUGCUGUGUCCUGCCUGACACACCUCAAUGUUUCUUACCCUCCCCUAAGGAGACUGUCAUUACCUGAAUGUGGCAGAGCUCUUGAAUUCGCCGUAUGUUAUGAAAUGUGUCCCCUCCUCACCCUUAGCUUCUGGGAAACCCAAUGACUGUAUCGGUUGCUUCAGUACCUUCGAGCCAAGAAGCAGAUGCUGAUUAAUUAAGCCUCGUGGCAGGCUUUUGAAACAGCUAAUCAGCUUUUUGGUUGGUGAAUUAAGCAUGGCUCAGCAUUACGCGGACAUGUACCGUCCAGAGCACAACCCCAAACGUGGUCUGCAGUACUCCUCUCUCUAUCUGAGGACUGGGUGUGAUGUUUCUCACGCUGCCAGCCUCAGCAGAGAGGGGCUGGGUUGGGGUUGUAGUAAGGAUUAUCAGAGAGCUGGGGAGCUCAAAGCGAUACGGAGGCUUCCCUUUCUGAAUCAGCUGUCUUCAAGACCACAGGAGAUGAAAUCCUGUGUGCUUGGUGUUAUGAAAGCUGAGGUUUUGCUGAGCCAAAGCUGAAACGAUGACUAGCAGUGCUUGCUUUUCAGCUUUCGAUAUGAUGCCACCACAGUCUUUCUUUCUGCUUUUUCUGGUAUGCGCUGUUUUCUGUAAGCUGCGGAACAGCUCUGGUGUUACGGCUCAGUGAUGGCAGAAAUCUGUGUGCUGACCACGUUGCGGGUACUUGGGGGCUCAUCUUAAAAUGCCUGAAGUUCAUGUUGAUGUUGGGAGAGGUCGUGGAGAGCAUCUGUUAGAAACAGGUCAGGCACCCGCUGAUGGACCAGGUUUGUUGCCGCAGCUGUAACCGCCAGAGAGAGAAAACAAUGGAGUGAGAGCAUCCGAGCUUGUUUAAAGCCCAUUUAAAUUCAGCAUCUAAAGAAUUUCCACGAGGAGUAAGCCCAAAGGAAUGCAACACCUCAAAGCCUUCAGCUAAAAUGAAGAUGUCUUUAAGACUCGUCUUGUAGUAUCCCACUGGAGGAAAACAGAUUUUCGUCAGAAAAUUCCUUUAGAGUGCUAAGGUAAAUAUUGACUGACAUCGCUAGAAAAACAAACUUCCUUUUAGGGUAUUUUAAGGUGGCUGCUGGGUCCGCCAGUGUUUGUAGCAUCAGAAGCACCUGUAGCAGAGCUAUCCCUGCCUCUGUAGCCCCACAGUCACCUGCACAUCUGCUUCAUGAGCUGGAGGCCCUGACUGGGGGCCCAGGUUCCUUCUGGACUUCUCACUGGUAAACCGAAGCCAAGCAGAGGCUUUGAGAGCUCUUAAGCAUCUUUUCAUUUUCAGAUGGUGGCCCUAGAUUUUUGAUAGCGUUCUUUUUGUUGAUAGUAUUGUGGGUCGGUUUUUUUUAAGUGUAAUUACCGUUUAAUUAGUUUCUAAGUGAAAGCUGUGGUUGAAAUCAGCCUGUUCUGAAGAGAAGAGGGUAAAUAUUGCUAGUGCAUCUGUCAGUGACAAGUGACCAGAAUGGUUGUACUUCCAUUUCAGAGGCUGUUCAUGCCUUGGUUAACCAGCCCAGUCUGAAACAAAGGCUGACCAAGGCCUCGCUGCUUGUAUUAGCCACAGCUUUUGGUAUCAUCGAAGCAUGGGAAAAAAUAUUUCAUGUUGACCCUUGUGCAGAAACCGCUGGUUAAGUUGGAGGCGACUUCAAAAUGCAGUUACUCCCUACAUAAAAAAUGUACGGUGGAAAAUAUCAGGUCAACCAUGUGGAGAAAUAAAGCCAGAAGAGACAGUAUAUUUUCAGUAGCAAUUUAGUGCAUGAUUGAUCUUACUGAUAGUGUUAGUGUAGUGUUCAUAGCUGAGUAAGCCCACUAGCAACAACUUGCUUGUAAUAUGUAUGCUGGAAGAAAUGCAAAGAAAAUAAAUUAAGUUUUAAGUAAAAUUUACAUUUGUAUUAGAAAAUCAACAUGUUAGAGUUUAGCAUGCUUAACAUUUUAUGAGAGCUAAUUCCCUUUCCAAAAUUGCUCUGUUUAUGAGUUUGUUUUGCCCUUUCCUCCGAUUCUGUUGAAAUCUUCAGUAUAUUGUUGUGUUGUUUUAUUUUUAAGGUUAACAUCUGAAAGGCAAAAACAAUUAUAUCAGAUGCAGUUCACUCUGCCUGUGUGUUUGUUUUCUUACUAAAUUCCCCAUAAGGCUUCCUCCCUUGCCACCAACCUCUCUGAUAGGACGGCAGGUAGUCACACGUCCUUUUUGCCUGGGGAUGCCCCAGAGCAGAUGUCCCCCUUCUUCAGGGCACGCAACAGCACCUGCCUGGGAUACGAGGCCAAGAAGCCAUUCAGGGGAGCGCAGGCAUAGCGUGGAACACCGAUCGCACCUCCAAAGACACACUGCAGCUGGGGCUGGCUCCAAGUCUCUUUUCAGAUGUGCUAAACCUGGCAUUGGUGAGCUGCUGAGAAUAUUAUAGGACAACUUCAUCUGUGCCUGUUCUGGUGUAAAGAGUAGAUAUCAGCCUGUUUCAUCUGGGUAACAGACCCAGGUAAGUGGCGGUUGGGUGCCUCUGGCAUGUCAUGAAAGUAGGGUGCCCCAGUGAGUAUUAUUUCCACUGAUGAUUUAUUUCAGUAUCAGUAUACAAGAUGUGCCGAGAUAUGUACAUGAACAUGUAUAACAUCUCUGUAUGAAAUGUUGGAAGUGCCUGCUCUUAAAGAGGAGUUUGACUUGCUCAGAGUUAGUCUUGUGAAGUGUGAACAUCAGGAUGGGCAAUGAAACUCCUGUUUUAGGCAGUGAGAAGAGGGAGAAGCUGCAGAGGCAGUUCUGCUCUCCUCAGGCUGAUGUCCAUAUGGUUUACACACAGGUCACUGUGGCCAUGGAUAGACGGAAUGAACUGGCUUUGGGGGAAAAACUGCCUUUAUAGCUGGCUUUCAGCUGGUGCCUGGCUUUCAGAUGGCUGAAAUUCAGUGUCAGGAGUUUCAUGGGCAAUGUUUCACCCCAGCAACAGUCUCUAAUGAAGUUGCAAAAUUUUAUUUAGCAACUUUGUCUCUCAUCAGAUUAUUUGUAUGUAUAAACUGUGGAUAUUGUGACUGUAAUUGCGUCUUGCCUUUACAAUGCGUUAUUCUGAGAAAACUUUAAGUACAUUUCUCUUGCCCAGCCCCAUUGCAUCUCCAUGUGCUUGUUAUGUUCAGCGGAGCUUUUCUUAGAGAGGAACAUCUACAAUGUGUGGAACAGAAAAUGAACAGAAGUACAUUCCUAAAAUGUCUGUUGUGAAGGAAAAGAGAAGUAUUUUCUGUGAAGAAUGCAGCAAAAAUUAACAGACCUACAGCAAAUUGCCAUGUGAAAUGUGCUGCUUUUAAGAGGUUUCAAAAGACCAAAGGAGAUCAUGGAAAACAAAUCAUUCUGCUAAUGUAGGACACAGCUUAGUCUAUGAAUGUUACUAGUUUUUGGAAACUUUUUGUAAUCAUGUAAAACUCUUUCCUAAAUCAUCUGGAACUUUUUUUCUUUUCCUUUCUUGGCUUGCUUUACAUGUGUAGCCUUUUAUUUGGAAUGAAUAGCAAGGUGGCUGAAAGAAAGAACUUGUUCCAGAGAAGGCAAAGGAGACUUUUUCCAAAGCUAAAUGUAAUUGAGAGAAAUGGAAGGUAGAGUUUUGCCCCACUUUAGGAAACUGUAUAACCUUAAGGAGCUGGUGUGGCAAGCAGCGAAAGAACAAGAGACAAUCAUGCUAAAUCAGAUGCAGGUGCAAGGAGAUAGUUGAACUUUGCCCAGAGUCAUUCCAAUGAGUCAUAUGUAUGUGUCUGCCUCCUAGCAGCCUGAACUAAUGAACUUUAAAAACUAUUAUCUAAUUAAGAUAACAAGGCAUUUGAGGAAGGAUCUUUCCCAUCUGGAUGAUUUUAUUGGAUCUGCUAAACUGUAUGACUUGGUUAGCUGUAGCCUGCCUCAAUUGAAAGCUACAGCUGGUGGGAGAAGAUGGAAGAGGUGGCCUGGAGUGAGCUCCAAAUUGCAAAAUUUAAAUCCAGAUCUCUUUCUCUUCCUUUCCGAAAGGAGAAGAGUCUGGGCACAUGCCUGACUGGGGUGUUGUUUAUUCAAUAGUCAUCUCACUUUAAUGGUCGUGUUCUCUUCUGUAGUUGUCAAAUGUUACGGUAAGAAUAAUGGAUGGGAAAUUGUUCAUUGUGUCCUGAGUUGAUAUGGAUCAAAGACACGUAUACGUAUGUGAGUGUGUGUGAACUUCAUUUUCUCCUGAGGAGAAGUCAGAUUUCAUGUCAUGCCCCAUGGCAGUGGGGAAAAGGUACUGCUGGGGGAUGUGAAACAGCAGACAUCAAUAUGUCCAAUCUAUAUUGACAAAAACAUUCCGUAUGCCAGUCAGAAUACAGUCUUCUUCCCUGAGACUGAGGGCAGCUGUCUGCUGCUGACUUGUGAGGUGUUUAUGAGCAAAUAAAUCUUUAUCUUCUUUCUAUCUGCUAACAUGGAUGCACUAAAUUAGUGGAAAGAUGGAGGAGGAAGUCAUGAGAGCGUGCCUGCCAAUGGUGGUGUUUUGCUGAAGAAGUUAACUUCUUGGUUCUUCAAGAAGUUAAUUUCAGUACUGUUUUUCUUACUAUUUGUGUAAUAUUAUUAAAAUACCCAGAAAGGGAAGACUUAGAUUUCUAGGUAUUGAGUCAGACUAUGACACCUAUAGAACAUUUUUAAAGUAAUAAUCCUAGGAUGGUCCUAGUCACCAGUGGAGAGGCAAACACACCAGGGAGUCUUUUGCCUCAUACGUCCUGUGGUUUGUGGUCUGCUAAUUAGGUCAGUUGGUUUAUUUCAACUGGACAGAGAUUUGCAUGCUUACAAAAGAAGGUGUGGCCGUUUCCCUGCAAGAAGAUGGCACUUCUGAGUCAAGUAUUGCUCUUUCCUGAUGGUAUUUUCACAAGGCGAAAUGAUGCAUGAUAAUGAUAAAUUCUGGUAAAUACCAGAAGUCAGGUGUAGAAGACUGAAAUUAAAACACAAUUUUGCAGCCAUUUAUGAUUGGAAUGUGGACAAUUGCUUUCAGUCAGAGAGAGACUUGAUAAGAGAUUAUUGCAAUUUAAACACUGAUUGUUUUGCUUUUCCUUUUGUGUCGGAAUACAUGGGAAAAGGGAAGAGUUCCCUGUGGCGAGUUGAGCAGAAAUUUGUCUAUAUUUUUUCUUCUUUGUAACUCCUUGCUGCUAAUUAUUGCUGGAUCACCAAUGUCUGCCACUGCUUGCAUUAAGAAUGUACCUGUGUUGUUCCAGAAUGUUGUUUUUUUUUCCCCUUAAGGUCUAAGCAGCCUGUGGUUUCAUCAGUCUUGAUGCAAAAAGAAAAAUGACAGUCAUUAGCUCGGCCUCUUUCUAAGCCGAGGACCGGGGGGGGGGGCAUAGUCUGGCUACAUUCCCUCACUCCUUUUUGUAUCCUUCCAUCUUAAACAAAAACUACGGCAUUCUUAUGACAGGCAAAUUUAAUUCCCUGGCACUCCAUGAGGCUCCUUCCUCCCACCGCUGCCUCUUUAGAAAGCAGCUCAGCAUUUAGGACGUUCAUAUUAUAUGGUCCUUGGCUGUGCUACUAAUUUCCCAUAAUCUCUGCAAAGAACCAGUAUUGUCUGAUUUGGGAUGCCUUGCUUAGAACAUUAAGUUGCCAUUCCCUCCAGGGCUGCACAAGAGGGAAAAUGCUGUGCCCUGUGGCUGGGGUUUUUAGGAUUGGUACUUCGCUGUCAGUGUAACGUUUUAUAAGUUCCUUUUGUGCAUUUACUACACAAAUUUAUUUUACUCUUUGAAUCCAUCCAUUCUUAUAGAUACAUGGAGAAUUUCUUUUACACUAAUUAAAAACAUAUUACAUGGCUUUAGACUAAGCCAACCGAUGCAAGGUUUUUUAAACCAAAAUUAUUUUCAGCUGUUUGUGAGAAACAAAAUGGGUAAAAAGCAGCUAUUCAUUUUUUUUGUGCUCUCCCUCCCACAUUGAUAAAUUUGACUACAUUUUGUUUGUUUCUUUUUAAAGAACAAAAAUCUGGUUUUGUCUGGUUGUAAAAGAUUUGUCAAUUAUUGUUAUUAUUCACCAGUGAAGGUUGGUUGGGGCUGCAGUAGGUAAUGUACCUCUUAACUUGUUUUCAUUAUCACUAAUUUAACCCUAAUUCUUCUGUUAAAAGUUUUAAGAUGGAUUUAAAUGUAACAUAUCGAUACAUUAAAAAACCUCCAUUUUUUGCAGUAAUAACAGUAGAUUUCUGAUUUACUACUGAAUAGAAACACAUAGUGAUUUUUUUUUCUCUGUAGUUGUUUUCUUGGUUGUUUCUUUUGAUGACAGUGCCACCGAAUGCUGAAAGUAAUGGAAGUUUAAAGCUUGUCACCCCUUAGACCUUGAUUAAUCUGGAUUUGUACUCAAACUGUGCCUUAUACCCUUGUUUCAAAUGAGUUUCUGGAGCACAGGUUUCUUCUAGGCUGCCCGUUUGAGCCUCUUCUGGCGUCCAGAGGGUUCAGCCCUGAGUAAAGUGAACGUGACAAAAUCUGUCCUCUGGGGCUGGGAGUGGGAAGAAGGAGCCUGGAAUGCUUGUGCAAUGAAAGGGAAUUCAGUAAGAGGUUCCGUGUUCUCUCCAAAGAAUUCGUUACGUUUCCUAGGAAAGGCCUGAUACUUGUUCCUAAAAACUGUUAAUUGGAUUGAAUACGCUUGCAAACAAUCAUGGAAUUGGUAACAAAGAACUGAUGGAGCGGAUGGACAAUGCCUUGUUCUGAGCUCCAGGAUAAAUGACAGUCCAGUGCUCAUUAUGAACUGCUGGGGUGUUUCUCCGUAGUUAAGGUUGGAACUAGUUUCCCAUUGUAUUUUGUUUCAUCAGGUUAUUUGUUUUGUUGUAUGAGAAAACUUGGAUUCAAGGAUGUCUUUUGUCAGCUAACUUUAUUUUUAACAAAGCUUUUCCUGUGUGUUUUCAGUGCUAAUUGAGGUCCAUCAGUGGCUAUAUGAUUUAAUGGCCUUAAUAGGAAUCUAGGAGCGCAAACAAAACAGAACGCUAUAAAUCACAGCAUGCUCAGGGAAAUGUAAUUCUCUCUCCGUGGAGAGGUAAACGGCAAAAUUACUGAGCUGUGUUACAUUGCGUUCUCUGCAGGUCAUCCAAAGAACUGGGAUUUCAGAUUUAUCCGCUUUUGUACAAUGAUGUCACAUAAACUGAGUCAAGAAUAAAUAUCAGUGACUUCUUUGUUUCCUUUGUGUGGCCGUAACCGGUGCUGCUGUUGUUGGAGACCUGCAGCUGCUUACAGUGCUGCUGCAAGCUUACACACAGGUAUGCAGCCGGUAAUUGAGCUGAGCGCUUUUUCUGGCAAAUACUGUUUUAAGAUCAUUGAAGAUAAGUUGUUUUUAAACUAUCCACCUGCCUGUGAUUCUGGUAACCAAGGUAACUUGCGCGUGAUAUUACAUGCAGAUGCCUUACUUUGACUGGGACAACCUACUUUUUAUUUCAUUGUCAAGUAGGUGGCAACCGUGCAGGAUUUUUUACAUGAAGAUGUUAAGAAGUGCUGUACAAUUACUAGUCUUGCUGAGCGUGUGAAAUACAGUUCUAUUAAUCUGUUUUUAAACAUUCUAUGUUUUAUUUAUGAAUUUAGAAAAUCUAAUCUAUAUCCCCUUCUACCAGUAACGCAAAUUCAAGACUUAAAUAAAGAAACACUACAAACGUAUUCACAGAUGUAUACCAGCGACAGUUGCAGCUGAAUAGGUGUUAUUUCCCAUCUUUUCUCUUUUGGCCUUGUGAGCUAGAAAAUCUAGGGUGCCAUCUCAGACUAAUUGUACUGCUGGAGUACAUGCAUUGUACCUGGCUGAGGGAUGUCUUUUCAUGUACUGAGAGAUUUAAUUAUCAAUAUAUCUCUUGACAGCAUUUCAAGAGUGAUAGAGAACAGAAUAAGUGUGCUAUUUUUAAAGCUAUCGUUGACAUCUUCAAAGUCCAUGGGAUGUUGACAAAGCAUAAUCUUACGUAAAAUUCCAGGGUAUGAUAUUGAGAGCUGCUAUCAGACACUGAAUAAGGAAAAAAUUAUUUGCAGAAGCAAGGAAAGAAGCUGUGGAUGGCAGGUUAUUCCUUCUUGGGAUAAUGUGUCAAGAGGUAUGUGCAUUAUUGCUGCUCCUUGCAUCUUCCUGUUACCUUAUACUUAGAACAACCUUCUGUGUCUCCUGUGCCACCCCUUCCUGAAGGGAAACCCAUGCCUUCUGUGAGUAUCAGUUUCUGAAGCUGGUCAGCUGCUAACCCGUGUUAGUCCACAUGCUGCUUCUUUCUCCACACUUGGAGAUUUAUGGAAUAGGAAGGCAGUCGGUUGCUCUAAUCGGAGCAAUACAUAGGGUGUCCCUUCUGGGCUAGGUGCAACCCGAUGUCUGAAGAGCAGUUUGUGUUCUGGCUGCGGUCAGCACCGAAGGAUGUACAGGAGGUGAGCCAGGGCUUCCUUUUUUAGAAGAAAAGUUGCAAGCUGUUUCCUUGUUGUGUGGGUGUUUUUUUUUUCUUAUUUGUGUUAGGAAGAGGUGAAAUUUCAUAGUAAUGAGGUAAUAAAUUUGUAUCUGGAAUAAUACUCGGGAAAGCUGGGGGAGAUGCAAAUUAAAAAAUGGCCAUCAAAAUAAAUUAGAACAUUUCCAGUUACGAUGCAAAACCAGAAGCUAACACUUGAAAGCAAAGAAUCACAUCUGCUUUCACUGAAGUGUGCUUAACUUCUUAUAUGUUGUAGUAUCGCACGUACAGUCCUUGAAACAAAAUGCAAUAAACCUUCUGCCACAUUUCUUUUGUUCUAUUGACGUAAUAAACCAUUUAGGAUUAACAUUUGUAAUCUGGUGCUGUUUACUGGAUUGAAGUGCCGCUGCCUAAAAUGUGCACGCGUGUUUACUGUCAUUCCUCACUACCUGUAUACAAGUGACAGCCUGGAGUUGUUGGCAUGCAGCUCUGACCUGCUCACGCUGCCUUGGUGUGGACAUGAAAUUCCUCUGCUUCAUUUGCAAAUAUUUUAGUUUUAAACCACAAAAGCAUAACCAAUUUUUGCAUUGAAAUGCUUUGAUAUGGUAAUGAUCAAAAUAUGCUGUGAUUCCAAAUGAGGUAUACAAACUUUCUUGUUCUUGGCAUGAAAAUAUUACUCCCUGGAAACACCUUGUGUGUCAAAUGAUGGAUAUGUUCCUGUGAUUUAUGUAAGUGAUUGUCAGGAGGUUUUGUGGCUCAUCCAAUUUUAGCAGUCAAGUACUCUUUCCUUGUCACUUAUGACAUACUUGAUGAAUUUCCGUGAUUAGCUAACGUGCUUCAUAAUUGUCAAAACUUUGCAAUGGUAUUCCUUAGAAAUAUUGAGAAGGGCGAAGUCAGUUCUGCCUCCCAUUUUUUUCUGUACAGGCACUCUUUUUUUUUCUUCCCAAAUUGUCUUUUCUAUACCUGGUACAUCUACCCUGUCUAGUAAUCUUUGCAGGCUCCUCCCUUUGCUUUACUUAAUGCUCCCUCACAUACAUGCUUCGUCUGUUUUUCAGGGAACAAUUGUGCUAUUCUUUACUCAGGCGCAGUAAUACCUGGGUGCUGGAAUACUCCAGUUGUGUUUAAUGGGACUGUUUUGGUAGUAAGAUACUGCUACUAAAAAUGCAACACUGAGGUUUUGUAUCUAUUGCUUUAUAACUUGGAUUUUUUAGAGAAAUGCCUACACCUGAUGUUUUCAUACACCCUCGGCCUCCAUUUUAUGUCAGCGUGCACCUCGCUGCCGUGCUGCCCAGUGCCAGCGCUGAGGAGACCGAUGGAGUACGUCCUUGCUGUCACCGCAGAGGUGUUGUUGUUUGUGGUGUCUUUCAUAAAUCUUCACAUUUCCAAUUCAGCAAUUUUGGGUUUCGUGGCUUGCAUGGCCCAUAAUGGCCAACCUCUGCCCCGCACUGCGCACUCUGAGAAGGACCAUUAUGAGCGCAAGGCCGACUCCUCGCUGACACUUUCUCCCCCCUGUCACUUAUCUGUCUGCCAUAGCUGGCAGAUUAUAGUGUUAAUUAUAGUGCAGGAAAUGGAAAACGAAGGGAAAAUGCAAAGAAGCUUCCCAGCCCUGCUCUCAGAGGAGACAGAGAGGGGCUCACGUGCCGGUGCGGGGUGGAAGGCGCGUCUGAGGGCAGUGCUGGCUGAGGGAGCAGUGAGCAGCACAAACAAUUAACACUCCUUGUUUUGGUUUAUGGGGGCCUGGAAGUGCAGCCAUGUUUGCCUGGGGGCUGGGGAAGUAAUAGCAGGGAGAUGGGGAAGGCUGCUGCAAGGAGACAGUAAAGGUUUUGAAUUAAAGGCAUGGGACCAAAUUCCUGUAAAUCAAGUGCCCAAAAUGCUAAAUGAUUUUUGGAAAAAAAGAGGAGGAAGAGAGUUCUCCUCCCCACAUGGAAGGCAAAAAGCUGGGGCUCUGCAGAAAACUGGGUCCAAGGCACAGCUGGGAGGGCAGGGCCCAGCUGGGGUUGCUGCUCCUGAGGGAAACGCUGCCUGGUGCCCCCUCCAUUUCAAACCUUUCUGUGAACUUGAGACUUACAUUUCCUUCAGGCAAAUUAAAAGUGAGCCCACUCUUCCUUUGUCUCAUUACUGCCUCUCUGUAGCAGCAGGAGCAUUUUAUCUUCUGGAGGCAGUGGCUGCAGUGCUGGGGGGAGGAUGCCAUGUGGCAUGGGCAGUGCAGCAUCCAUCAGGAGCUCUGCAGAUGUGAAGAAAACAGUAAAUACAGCCAUUGUAACAUGGUUGACCUUGUAUGUGCCAGGGAUGCCUGAAAGUUAACUGUGAGCAACUGGUGCAGUGCUUCUUGUUGCUGAAAUAGGUUUAUAGGAUUUUCAUAUUUUUUGCUUUUCUUUUCCUGGGUAUAGUUUUGGAAUUGAAACCUUUGUCCUUGGAAAGUCUCCACAAAAAAAAUAAAAGCUCUCUGAGAUGAGAAACCAGUAAUGUGCUUUCUGAAUUGCUUACAUAAAUAACUAGAAAACUCAUUUUCUUGUCUCUUCAGAGCAUCGCAUCUCGGUAUAUCAGGGGCUCUGUGGUGCUCCAGGCUUUCCCCUGUGGCCAUCCAAAGGUCUGUGUGUAAAUACACCGUGGGUUUGCAGGAAGGCUGCGAUGGUGAGACCCAUCAAAACAUGCAGCGAAUGAGUGAAAAUACUUCUGCCGGUCUCUCCACUACCUCCACUGCUACUCCCUUUCUGCAAGGUUUAGCUUCUCUGCAUAUUCAGCAAAAGAACACUGUAUGUUUUCACUGAGAGACUGGCACCUGUGGAAAUUAGCCCAGGAGUCAGGCAGUGUGGUUGCUUGCUGUGUGGAGAAGAGGCACCAAAAUGUUUUUAAGACUUUGAAUAUUCACAAUACAAAUUGCAAAAGAAUAUUCAUGGUAAAAAUUCCUCAUAGUUGCUAAUUCCUAGAUGGCUGCUGAUCAAAGGCUUGGAAGUAUUCGCGUUGGUUUAAGCAGGGAUGAGUUUAUGGCAGAGCUGGCUCCUUCUGAAAACUCAACCCAGUGGUGGUUACCGCAUUGCAGGACACAUAGUGUAAAAGUGAGAGGGAUGGAAAGUAUUUUAAAGCGUGUAGAACAAACACCGAUGAACAAAUAAGGGCUUUCUAAAACCCAGUAAACGAAGUCUGCUUUUGAUGCACCUGACUGCAGAUGUUAUUUUGAAAGCUGUCACUUCAGCAAAGGAAGGAAACAAAGUCCCUGUAGGUGAUUUCAUCAUCAAAAUUGGUUUUACAAGAACGUAAGAUAAAAAUAAAGCAAAUGUUAAAGAGAAGUUCUCAUUUUUCUAUUUAAAGGCUUGGCUGCACUAACAGAGCCGUCUGACAGCUCUGCAGUACUGGUAUGCACCCACUGAAAUGUAUCCCGUGCAGUGCAUCAAAGCCUGCCUGUUGUCCCCUGGGCCACGAGGAGCGGCCGGGCGCCCGGACACAGGCAUCUGUCACCUUGGCAUUUAGGCAGGUCACUCACUGCCCUGAGACUUCAGAGGGAGCUUUCUGGUUGCCUUUGCAUUCCUUGAUAAUUCCCAAAAAGCCCACUCCCCUGGGCGAUUGAUCACAGGGCUGCUAUCAAGCGAAUUCCUGGAUGACACGUGGUGUCAGCUUUCCUCGUGCCCUUCCUCUCCGCCCCGGCGGAGGCAGGCGGCCGUGCCUGUGUGUGCAGGCCGCUAGGUUCCGCGGGCUGGGGCAGCGGGUGACCCGCGGCCAUCCAACAGCGAGUUGCCACCGCCGAGCUGGCAGCUGGAUUGCUGGUACGCGCUGCGCUGGGGAGCUGAGGGCUUUAGGGCUGCAUUGAGCCGUGCCUAGGAGGCCUGCUUGCUUGGUGCAUUCCCACCUACUGCAGUGCAUCCAGCAGCGCCCUUCUAAUGCGCUGGUGCCUGUGCGCGCACAUACAUGUAUGCACACAUUAACCUCCAAAGCUGUAAUUUCCAGUGGGGUCAUAAUCUGCAGUUUCUUUUGUAAAUUGCUGGCUGGAGAGUAAAUUUGAGGCCUUUUUCUGGCAGGUCACCUGCAGGGCAGGCAGCCAGUGUGAAUUUCCCUAGCCCUGCUCUGCAGGUGACCUAAAUCUUUUCACCUGACUGGGUUUUCCUGCGCAGCAGUGACACAUCUGAGAUCCUUCCCUGCUCAAGCCUAGGUUUCUCUCUUGAGCAGACAUUACCAAAUUUGUCUGUGAAGUAGCUCUUACACUGGAACCUGUUCGGUGACCUGAACCGCAGCUCCCUGGGGACUGAGCUGAGACCGGCACCGCUGCCUUCAGCUGUUGGCCUCUCUCCGCUCAGCACUGUGACAGUGUUCAGUCUACAGCUGUUCAUCCACUUGGGCUUCCCUGUUCUUCUCACGUUCCAUAUUCAUUCAAUCUUGCUUUACAUAAAUUGCAAUAUAGAUUAAAAUUUCCAAGUACUGUAGACUGGCAAACACAAUGUUAUGGGCUGUGGUCAUUUGGGAAGUUGGAAGUUUCCUUCCGUGUUCAUAGUACUGACAUUGGCCCUGAAAUGUGUUUUGCCCAUCACGGCCACUCUGGCAGAUGAUAAGCCUCUGUGCAACAUUUUGUGACAAUGAUAGAUAGCAUUGGGAAGUGUUGGAUACAGAAUACGUUUUCCCAAAUACAUAAUAGAAAGUGAGGCAAAAGCUAAGUGAAAUUUCUGGCCAGCGUAAGAGAAAUGGGGAUCACAAGAAAGUCAGUGACCGGCUUUUAAGAGCGAUGCUCGCUGCUGGAAAAUCUGGAUAAGCAAACCAGUUAGUACUUACGAGAGAAAUGAAUUAGAUUUUUGUAUAUGAAAUUAAAUUGAUUUUUCUAAUGCUUACAGAGUUUGCUUCUUAACAGAUAUUAAUCAGCAUUGCUAGGAGAAUCACUCGAUUUUCCUGAUGCUUAAAGCAGCUGGGACGUGGGUUACAGCAUGGAGGUCUCCAGGUAGAGGAUGUAAGAGGUGGGAUGUGCAGAAAGGUUGGUCAGUGCUGUGCUCCUUUAGGUGAGACUGUUAUGUUCUUUGCUGGGAGCUGAGCCUGGAGGAAGGAGGCACCUUCUGCUGGGAAUACCUGUAAAUAAUACUAGGGCUUUCUUGAUAAUUACAGUUAUUUUAAAGUUGUCUUUCUUCUGAUGUCUUUUCUCUGCCUUCAGAAGAAGUUUUGAAUUCUGCUGUUCUCUGUGGUUUUCAGCACCUCUUUCUUGGCCCUCACUUGCAAAAUUCCUCCAGGCAAACUGGAUAGCUCACCUGGAGCUGGCCUGGGGAUCCACGCAUGUGAAAGGCUCCUUGCUGGGCACCUUGCUGGGCAGCGUUGGAGUGCUUUAGGACCCCUCAGAUGGAGCAGCCGGGAACCUGAAGGCAAAUCAACCUCUGUCCCUGAACUCAAAGUACGUAAAUUAAAAUGUGAAUGGCUUCAUCCAGGUGUGAAGUGGCCUUUAGAAGUACUGGCAAGGAAAGAAGUGGUGGGAAUUGGUUUUCACAUUUUGGAACGCUGUCAGUUUGUGCCUUUUAGAAAUCUCUCUUAACUUUUGUUUUACCCAUAAGCUUAAUAAAUACCUAUUUACAUCACCGGGUUAAAUGUAUGAGCUGAAGAACAUGCAUUAGGGAAAAAUCUGAACAAUGGCAAAAGAAGUCUUGGGUCUCGCUGCCAGUCGUUAUAUAGUGAGUCAGCUUGGAUUCUCUUGGUCAGGUACAGAGAUGCUGAAUUUGGGAUCCCCCACAUGGGUCCUGUGGGAGAGCUGCAGAAGGCCGGAGCUGGCUGGGCAGAGCCGGAUGGUUGGGGCAGCCGGGUGCCCGCCCUGCCGCAGGUUUAUGGCCAUCUGCUACAAGAAAGGCUCGAGAGGUGGUAUCCAGAGUGACAGUUUACAUUCAGGAAGUUCUCACCAAUUAAGGGCUUUCUUUUUAAUGAAAGUUUGCUUUUGCACAGUGAAUGAUUUAUGACGGGGUUUUAAAUGUAUUGCUUUGACUAUGCCUACACACUUUGAACACCCUAAAUAAAAUCAGAAACCUUUGAAACAAACUCAUAAAUAUUGUCUGAGCAUUCAGAAUAUAUUGCCUUCUGGAGGAUGUGUAAUGUAGUUUAUCACCAAGCAGUUACAGGAAGAUAUUUGAACUAUGUAGAUGUUGUUACUUAAACCUCCAGUAAUAUAAUUAUUCCAUUUGUUACUGAAUCCUGAAGUAACCUCCAGCCCCCAAGAUCUGAAGUAGUUAAUGCCAGGGGGUAUGUGCUGUAUUUUAGGCUAAGCAAGCUAUUUUAGACAAGGAUUAGUUACUUGUCUUUUGUCUAAAGUUUUGCAGUUGUAUAUUUGGAGGAAAAAAGAAAGAUUAAUGUUUUCUGCUUGCUCAUAUAAUGCAGUGAAAUUUUCUUACUGGAUUUUUGGAAGCAUAAAUGAAACACAGUUAAGGAGAAACUUCUCCCUCCUUCCACCCUAGAACUGAUCUGUCAGGAGCAGAGCCGUCACCAGACGCUUUGGGGUAGCACGCCAGCACCAGUCGUGCAGCUGCUGCACCGUGCAUGGCAAGUCACCAGGAGUGCCCGUACAAAGCAGACUUAGGCGCGUCCAGCGGAUCACUGGGUUAGCUGUCUGCCCGCUGCAAAGCUCAGUUUUCAGAACGGAGAGCGACACGGCACGUGGGGCCAGCUGGCUGCCACAGGGCCUGUGCUGGCCGCAGCGUGACUGCAGGGCCACCAAAUGAGUUCUGGGCCUGCUGGGCUGUGUCUGCACGUGCUGCAGAGUGGGGCCCUGCAGACAUGGCUGCUUCCCUUCAGACUGGGUGAGCUGUGCCAGAGGCAGCCUGGGAGCAGUAGCUGGGUAAUAUCUCCUUGAUUCCUCUGUGCUGUGGGCCUGCCAUUUGUGUGCCAGUCCUUGCUGAAAUGGUUUAAGCCACGGAACAGAAGUGAGGGUGUAAACAUGCCAGAGGACUUCAUCAAAAGCCUGGGGCUGAACUGUGUUUCGGGCUUUUGUGUAAUAGAUACUCUUUAUAGUGGGUAAUGACAAAAUGGUAUUCCACGUGGGAGUCCUUACAGAGUUUUGUCCUUUAUCCCAAAUUAAUUAUUGAUGUGAGAGAAGGGGCAACAGUAAGAGAGGGCUUAUUUCAUAAAGAAUUAUCGUCUUCUUAAAUAUUCUCAUUGCAGACUCUAAUUUUCUUUUACUUUGAGCACUGGCUAAGUAACUUUAUAUCAUUCAUUGAUCCUAUUUUCUUGAAGUAUUUGCAUGGUCCAUUGCUUUUGAUUUGUUAAAUAGCACAUUUGAAGUCCUGUCAAGCACACCCAUUCAGGAAAGCUGUGCCAGCCAUUCAUAAUUUUACUUGAUAUUAAACUGUACAAGUUGCCUUUGAAAAAAGUAGCUUGUAGGGCUGCAUUCUCCGUGAUUCUUUUGAGUCUCUUCCAGAAUUAUAGUUGAAAUGCAUUUCUGGUUCUACCUGAAAUUUUAAUUUGGUGACAUUUGCAUUCAAAAGCCUUUUUGUGAGGAGAGGGUCCAUGUGCUACAGAACAUCCUGAGAGCAAGGAGUUAACAGUACAGCUGUGUUUCCCUCUGAAGGUAUGCAUCUUUGGAUAUUUGGAUACAUUUUGCUUAGUGGGCAAUAUUUGUGGUAGGUGGAUGGUUGGACUAGAUGAUCUUAGAGGUCUUUCCCAACCUUAAUGAUUCUAUGAUUCUAAUCAAUUCUGUCAAGACACUGAAAAAUUCCCAGUAGUCUUUGAGUUCGCUUCAGUAACUAAAAUUUCUGUGUGACUGAUUUUUUUUUUUUUAACUUUUAAAGGCAAACGAUCUGAUAAGCAGAGUAUAAACAAGUGCCCAGGUGGAAGACAGCUGUUUUCUUGUGUUCUUGCAUUCUUCUUGGAGACUGAAAGCAAAAUUCACAUGCCUCCCAUGUCAGGUAUUAGAACAUGUAUGUGCAAGAUACUGUUGGAGGAGACGAACCAAAUCAAGACUGGGAACUGCUGCACUGCCAAUUAAUUCUUCCUUUGAUUCUUUGCUGUCUCUUACUAUAUAGACUGAGACAUCACUGAAUUAAGAUCCUGGAGAUAAAUAUUUCUCUGGCAAGUUUAGAGAAAUUAAUUUUAAACUUAGAACUGAAAACAUUCCUAUUAAACAAAUUUCUCUUUCUUCUUAUUCCAUGCUGUGCUCUAUGCCCAUCUUUUGAACACUAUGAUUUUUGUUUGGGGAAUUUAUUUUUUUUUUAGUUUGUGCAGUUGUUGCAGUGCAGUUUUGCAUAUGGCCGUAAUCUGGCCUCAGCUACCCAGUGUUUCACUGCGUGGCAGUGAUUUCCUUUCUACUGGUCCAAACUGUCUUCAGUGCACAGUUGCCACAUUUUCAGUGCAGCUGGAAACCUUUUCUAAACUUAAAGUGCUUGUGGAUGGAGGUUGUCUUUUUAUUCUAGACUUGUCUGGAGUUGUGAGGUUGUUGUUAAACACUUUCAUUUCCUUUAGGUGUAGAGGACUAAACCACGACAGCACCACAGUCCAACAGGAAUUAGCAGACAUUUUCCCAAAGAGCUUCUUAUCUUAGUGUCAAAAUUUAAAGCCUUUUUUCUUUUUCUUCUUUUUUUUUUCUUUUUAAGUGAGAGGAACCAUUCCUUCCUUCCCCACCCCACUCUAUGUACCAUCAACCUUGGUAAACUGUAAUUAUGGUACACUCUCCUAUCCUUGGUAAUGUAGUUUUUUCUUUCUUGAGUGAAAUAUUUCUGCCUCCUAUAACAAAGCACAGCCUUUGUUGGUGCCAGGGAACCUGCUGUUGGUUUCCAAUGGGAAACUUCCAUAGCCUAGAGUGAGCACAUAAAAUGGGAUGGGAAUUCUGAUUCCAAGGCUUCAGAGCAUCUGCGUGCACGAGGGCAUGGCUGCCUGUGCGGCUAACACACCGUGUGUUAAGAAUUAAGUACUUCACUAAAUGGAAAUUCGGCAUUUGGGAUUGCCGGCUACCUGUUCCACUUCGUGUAUUGUGUGGCUGUACACAGUGUGGAUCCUUAAUCCUUGGUUUGAGAGGCAGUAAUUAUUGAGUAGAUGCAGCAUACGAUGAUAGUGAGGAUUUUAAGCAGCUUAGUGAUGGAGCAGUUUAAAGAAUGUUUACUGGCUAUAGUAACAUUACUUCUGGUUGCCUGUCUUAAUUCAUUUCAGAUUAAUCUGUCUUAUAGCGGGAAGGAAAAUGAAUCGAGUCAGUAACUUCAAGAGUUAUGUAAAAUCUGCACAGUGCUAAAUAAUUGUGCAGUUUUAUGUAUGCUGCUGAAAUUGGAAUGUCAUUUUGACACAAAUUCGCCAAAACAGAAUGCUAGAUGAUCUGAUCUUUUCCUCAAAUAAAAGCCUUGAAACUACUACUUAUGUACUGCUCCAGAGUUUAGCAUCUCAUUGUCUUCUUUCACAGGGUAUCUUGGUCAUGUUUGCGUUUCCAUGUGGUAAUUAUCUAAAUCUGUCCUCGUUUGUGCGUGUGAGUAUGGGGGAGGCUUGGGGGGGUACAUUCUGGAGGUGAUGGCUGGAGGGGUUUGGGAGCGGGCACGUGAGUGGCGAACCCCAUUCGGUAACGCUCAUGUUGAACAAAUAGCAAAAUGAAUCAGAUAAGGCUAUGACAAAACAGAAACAUAAUUGUAUCAAAAGCAAACAGACUAAAAGUGACUAAAUAUUUUGGCAGGGAGCCCUGCUGAGGAAACUAGAUUAAGUCUAUCUGUUACAUUGUGUGGGAAAGAAGAGGAGCUCUGGAUUCUCCUCAGCUCCAAAACUCUUAAGCCUAAAAUAUGAUUCUCUUUGAAUGUUUAGGGCUAUUGAAAAAUUGGGAAAAGGCAAGCCAGAAGAGGAUGAAGGAUGCCAGUGCCAGCUGCUAGAAUUUGGAGUCUGGAACCCCUAGCUAAAUCUGUUUGCUCGUCAAACUUUCUAUAGCUUGUGACUGUUAGUUAAUUUUUCCUAUUUAUUUUAGAAACAGGCCAGUGGGAAAAGUCUGGGCUCCCGCCCUCAACAAAAUAAAUUAUGAUUUCAUCAUGCUUUGGCCUUAUCUCUCUUGUUCUUUAUUCAUCACAGGGAUUCAGAUCUGUCCUGGGUCAGUUCUGCUCUUUCAUUACAUCCAACUCGAGCUUUGAAAACGUGGCAAAGAGCUUUUUUCAGUGCAUGUUAUCAGCUGCUCUGGCAGACUUCAUUCAGUUUCCAUAGUCACUUGGUUCCUCUUAAAUUUCUAACUUUUUAAGUUACUUAAGAAAUAAUCUUUUUUUUUUUUCCCCUUUGAUUUUUUUCCCACUUUGUGGUUAGUGUGAGAUGCCAGGAGCAAUCAAUGCGGAGAAUCUCAGCUCAGAGGUGUGGUAGUCCUUUGGGCCCACUGCAGACUUAGGGCUUUGUGUCUCCCACCGCUCUCUGCUGAGCUUCCAGAGCUGUGGCCGCUCAGAGGACAAAGGUUUGUGCUGAAAGUAAGGCAAGUUCCUGGAUAAAUUAAGUUAGGUUUUGAUAUGCACGGAAUUGUAUUGCAUGCAAUUAUGACCUCUUUUUUUUUUUUGACAUCAGUUUCCUUAGUGCCUUUCUGGAGGAGAAUGUGUUCAGGCCAAUCUAUCUGUCAGUCUUCACUGCUACAGCAAGCAAAAAGGCAAUAUUUGGUGCAGUACUUCCAGUGCGUUAAAUAGCAUCUUCAUCAAAGAGCAGAGGGAGUGCUUUGUUGUUCAUCUAUUACCGGUGACACUUCACAAGAAAAAUUCCUUUACCUCAAAGGCUAAGUAUGUGGCUUCAUUCUGUCUGCCUGAGGAUAGCAUUUUUCUGUGGGUAACUGGAUGCACAGACACUACUUCUGUCUUAAGGGCUGAAUAAUUUUGGUAAAUGACGCCUAUCAUUGUGUUGCUCCAUUGUCUGGCGUGUCGCUUGCUGCCUUGACCUUAGUUUGUAGCCUGAGAUGGAUGGCAUGAGACACGCUGUUGUCUCAGUCCCCAGAGGAGAGUGCCGCACCCAUCGCGAUGGAGCCUGCGGCGGUGCAGAGCGGGUGCAGGAGAUCCACUCAUCAGGUUUAGGGGUACUCAGAGAAGGGGGGCAGCAGCGGGAAGAGAAAGGAGCUGUCUGAUUGUAAUAUUGAUCUUGGGUUAGGGAGGCCAGAGAGCGUGAAGAGGAAGCCUGCUCCUUUGGGAAUCCCAGCAAACGGCUGUUGGCAUGUGAGCAUGCCUCAGGCCCGGCUCGGCCCCCUCCUUGCUUUCUGAUACAAUUUGCUGCUUGCACAGCUCCUGCUUCACGACCUUGACCUCUGCAAAGGUCUUUGCAGAACAAAAAGAAAUAACCCUCGUGCCAGUUCAUGCCGUAGCUGGAUAUUUACUUGCAGAAGAAAAUGCGAUGAAUAGCAUGUGCCACCUGGAGAAGUCUUUCUCUGUAAGUAUGUGCUCGUGAACACAAAUAACGUGUACUAUGAUAAUAAUACAUCACUCAGAAAGGAGCACUUCAGUGCUUCUCUGUGUCUGCUAGGACAUGAAUUAAAAUGAAGCAACAAAGAUUGGGGGAAGCAUCCUGUGGGAGGAAAAUACACUGCUUUCUGCCUUUUCACUGGAGAAUUGAGAUUUACAUUUGAAAACACUUGGUUCAUCAGCUUUUGUGUCUCCAUUUUGCCAUUGAAAAAGUAGGUGAAAUGGGAUAGGUUGGCCGUGGAAAAGCAGAAAUACAGAAACUGAGCCCAGCCAACAUUUGUUUUUGGUUUGUUAAAACAGGCCAUGCAGAUGUACACGCAGUAGUGCCAAAAAAGUAACUCUCAGCAAAGUUGAAGGUUUUCAAACUUUCUGACAAACCCUAGCACUGAUUUGAUAUUACCUCAGGACAGAAAAUUCACUUCAGUGAAGCACCGGAGAGAUUUCCUGUAGCAGUUUGUAACUUUUUAAGAAGCCUUCAGUCUGGAUGCUUGACCUACCUUGAACUUGCAGAGCUUGAGACCUAAUGAGGGUGGGUGCACGUGGGAUGGGUGAGAGUGGGAGUGAGCAGCGCGGCAGGGAUAGGGAGUGAGCCUUGGGCUUCUCUCAUUUUUCUGUAUUUCUCAGCGAUUAGGUCAUGAAAUAACCGUUAGUACUACUGGGAAUUUGUAUGGAUUAGUCUUCAUCAACAGCAUUAACGUGCACCUCACGACACUUAACGUGUUAACAUAUAUGAGCACUGGCUUUCAGCUAGCACAUCUGAGAGAGGAAAGAUGGGGUUUUGGAGGUCAUUAUUACCACACAUUCAAAUAAAAUUUACGUUGCACAACUCAAAACUCUCAAACAGAUGGAGCUGGAAUGGCUCCCAGCAUCUGGUCAGGGCUCGCUUGGGAAAGGGGAGAAGUGCUGGAACCGUACACACUAGCUUUCUGCUGCUGAGCAGCCCUGCCAUGCCUCUUGUGUUAAGUGAGGGAGCUGUGGUGCAAAAGGACUCUCUGUGCUACCUGGCACAUUGGGUUUUGUCUUUCCUGGGGGAUUUCAGGUGCACAGGACCAUCUCUGGGCUCCUUGCAUGUUUGUGGCAAACCUGAGGUUUGGGGGCAGUGGGGUGAACCAUCCAGCUCUGUAGGCUUUUGCCAUCUCCAUCUGCCAGGGAGUGAUGCUGGAGCAUAAGGAAACACAGGACUGAGGUCUUUGCUGAAUAGCAGAAAAGCAAUGUGUUGGGCAGAGUUAGAGGUGGAAAGGUGUAGAAAUAGUACGGUGACAGUUGUGAAUCUGAAACAGUGUCAUUCCUUGCCUGACCUCGAAGGAAAAGGGCUUUGAGGUAAGGCGCUUGCACAGGAGUUCUCCUGGCUUUUUUCUUGACUUGAAAGAUGUGCUAAGUACUGCAAGUGAUGUGUAAACCACUGCUAACAUGGGAAGCUGAGAGUUUCUGCCAUGAGUUGAUACCUGAGGAGCCAGGCUGGCUUGGCUUCCCACAAAGGACAGCAAGUUACCUUGCUACGCAGCUCUUGCUUCUGCACUUUCUCCCUCGUGAUACCCAGGUAGAGCUUUCAUGUGGGAAACCCUCAGUGUGAAAAUAAAAACAGUGGGAGGACUGUGCCCCUGGCGUUUCUUAACUUUGUAACCUUUACUGCACCUUACUUGAAAGGUCUCUCUUGAUCCCUGGAGGUGCUCAGGCCAGGCUGGAUGGGGCCCUGGGCAGCCUGAGCUGGUGAGGGGCAGCCCUGCCCAUGGCAGGGGCUUGGAACUCAGUGUUCUUUGAGGUCCCUUCCAACCUAAGCUGUUCUAUGAUUCUAUGAUCCUAUGCUUUGACAUGUAUUUUAACCCCAUCGUGGUGCCCUCUCACAGCGAAGGGCCACAAGCAUUAUCUACUAAAUCAGGAAUUUUCCUAGUUCAUAAACCACAUGGUAAAUUCUAACCUGACCAUGUAAAUAGAAAAAGGCCUGCUACCCAUAAUUAGCACUGUGUUCGAAGCCUGGGCUGCUUGCAUAUUGUUUAAAGAAUGUAAGAGAAAUGAAUUUCAUCUGCGAAGCUUUCUCUGUAAGUAAAGGGUAAACCAAAAGGAAUUUCCUGGGAUUCUUGCAUGUAAUAGAUCUGAAGAGCAUUUGGGUUGGUAAUGUGUUUAAAAUACUGUGAAAACUGAACUUUAGACACAAAAAUUGAGGUCACUCAGAUUUCUUUUACAGAGAAAUGACCACAUAUGUACCAAAGAAGUGAAUUUGUCUGGAUAUCUGCCACUGCCUCCUACAUCACUCUUCAUAGAAAGCAUUUUCUUCCAAACAUAGCAUAAUGGGAACUCAUAGCUUAACAGAGCCUCGUGGUUUAGAUUCCUUUGAAAUCACCAUGCAGACAUGGGGAAAAAGAUGUUUAAAAUUCUUUGUUUUUGACCAAGAUCCUGUUACGUAACUCAGGGGCUCCUACAGAAAAUGUGAAACAGAGCUUAAAGAAACCAUCAGUUGCCAAAGUCUGUGUUAUAGUUCAGGCAGGAACGAUGCUGUACUCGAGAGGGUGGAGGCUAGGGGAGGAGCUUCAGGAUUAACACACAUUUAAUCAUAAUUUCUGAUUUAAUCUUUUUUCUUGGUAAGAGGAAGUCUCUCAGUUAUGUGGAAGAGGACCCUGAACUAACAGUGUACUGCUCUUUGUGAGCAAGGCUUACUGCAGUGACAGAAAUGAGAACUCUUCUUGUUGAAAUGGCCCAAUGGUCUUCCCACUCAUACAAUUUUAAUGGCAUGAGAGAAACUGUGCAAUAGUAGCCUUGGGCUCUUGUUAGUUCUGAUCUUCGGUGUACCAUAAAGUACACUUCCAUGGGUUUUAAUUAGUGGAAGCCCCCCAAAAUAAUCACAUGGCAUCUGCUUUUCAUAGAUCCGUUGCUCAGUUAACCCCAGAGCUGUUGUUCUCUGCAGGCUCUCGGAGUCCCAGGAUGCGAGGACAGGACUGCACAAAUAGCUUGCUGAGGCCCAUCCAUGCCCAAGAUGAUUAACGGAAAUAAGGAGUCCUGAGUUGGCCAGUUUGGCAGUAAAGAUGUGGAAAGUGCCAUCUGCAGAGCAGCUGCUGGUUCUCCCGCUUCGAUUAAUUUAUCUCAAACUGCGUAAGAGCCAGCAUUUUUCCCCUUUGUGCAGGAAGGCGACCUUCUGGGUCCAUCAUUUUUCUCUGGCAUGCGGGGGUGUUUUUUUCCCUCAUCUCCUCUUUAACAAACCUCAUUUCACAGCAUGCUUUUAGCUCUUUUUUGCAUCAUUCUGCCACCUCGACAGGUUCUUGCAGAAUUGCGGUGAUCUCCUGUGUAUGCACGGGUGGGUCCCCAGUGUCCUGCCCCUGUAGCCGCUCUCCUUUCUCACCUCAGUCUCCAGGAGUUCGUUAGAGCCCUUUGAUGUAUGAGAAGAGAAGGUCUGCCUGAGGCUGGUGUCAGAGAUUUGUGAUAGGGAGGGGAGAUACUGCUAGGUCUGUCCUGCAAGUUGCAGCUGGGCAGUCUCGCUGCUUUCGGGCAAUCUUGUACAUCAGUUCAUCAGAACCCCCACAGAUUUUGCGUGGCCCCAGUUGUUUUGCUCCUAUCAGCUUUGUUCACUAAUCAAAAAAAAAAAAAUCUCAUUUGGACAGAAUUACAGUCCAACAUCUGUCUGAAAAGAAAACAGUGUUCGCAAACACUGGUUAUGUGUUGGUUAUGAAACAGUUGCUCCUAAACAGAUACCAAACUCAGAACAAAAAAACCCCACAACAACCCUACAGUUUUCUCCCUAGGUAUGGUGUGUUUUGAGGAAGGGAAGAAGCUGGUAAACCUAGAUGGGAAGGAAUGCAGCUUGAAAGUAACCCACUUCUUUAGUUGAAGAAUUUUUUCUCAUUACUGUUGCCUAGCUGGAAAUAGCUUUAAGGAUUACAUGCGCAUGAUCUACGCCAGCUUCAUUCAAACUGCUUUUUCCAACCAGGUACUUCUUUUCCCUGGAAAUGAAGUUUAUCUUGCUGCUUCCUUGCAGCGUACAACCAUUUUACACAGGCAGUAUUUAACGAGUUUAAGGCGGAAUGCUUUUGGCUUUCUUCCCUCCGGAUAUGAAUCUGCCCCGUUCUCCUCCAUCUUCCAUUUUCCUGACAAGGGGGGGGGGGGUAUUACUUAAAUUGCUUAAACUUUUAUUGCACCACAGAGCAGAUUCUCCUCCACAGCCUGCUCCAAGACUGCCUGUAAGGCAGAGACCCAUGCACUGAGCAUGAGAAGCUGAAGGAAGAUUAAGGAUUAAUUUUUUGGAUCCUCCUGUAUUUGCCAAAGAAUCAUCACCAUUUUUGUCACAACUGAAAAUGCCGGAGCCCUCUGUCAGUCCUGAUGAGUCGCAUGGAAAAGCUGCGUAGCUAUGCAGGGAGGUUAUAUUUCUGUUUUUUAGGGGGUUGCAUUCAUAUGUUAUAGGUAUUUUUAGCUGGCUUUGAGAAGUGAAAAAACUUUGCUUUGGAUGAGAAGAAAGAUAUGUAUCCUGUCAUUUUAAAUUCACAUGGGAAAUUACAAUAAAGUAACAUUUCCACGCAGAAAAAAUAAUCCAUCAAAGUAUUGAUGGAUUUUUCAAAUGUGCUGAGUACUUGUAGAUGCUGCUGCUGACUUGGAUACUGCUCAAAUACUCUGCAGUUUUGGAAAUUAAUCCCCUUCCUACUUUUCCCUCAGCAUUGAUUCUGGGGGGCUUUUCACUCAUUUGCAUAACUAAGCUGGUAGUGAAUAGCCCUGCUCUCCUGCAAGGCACACCCGGGGACCAGGUGAAGGUGGACCUGUGUGGGGGGGAGCCAGAACAGCAGGGGUGCAUCUGAGCUGUGGCUUUGGGGUACUGGUACUGUGCCAGCAAACAGGGCAAGGUGAGCCUGUGAGGGGAUAAGAUCUUAGCAGGGCUGGAGAGGGUGACACGGUGCCAAAAUGUGUGGUGAGGAGUGUUUCUGAUUGAAUGCUAAAAGCCUGCAUAACACAUCUUGUUAGAGCAGGCUGACAGGCAGGCGCCUUUUGUUGAGCUCCAGGAUAAAGGUGCCACUGGUUUGCUUUCUUUGUCUCUUGCAGGCUUUGGGAAGGGGCUGCGUGUUUCUAAUGGCCCAGCACAGGAGUCACAGUGCUCCCUUUGUCCCACCAGGGCAAGGGACAGAGGUCAGGGGGCUUCCAGCAUCGAGCUCUUACUUCUGGGGGGAAAAAUGCAAUCUGGAAGUAUUAUUUGGUAAAGGACGACUGCGAUGGGGCUGAACACUACAUAUUGACUCUCCUUCUGUCAGCUCCGGUGAGCUGGCACUCUGUGGCUCAACCUUCUGACACCAGGUAAAAGUGACCAUAAAAUGGGACAAAACUGCUCGGAUCCGUACAGUGGUGUGGUGGGGAAACAAUUACCAUGUCCAAGGCAACUGUCUCAUCCACUCGCCUGCAGCAGAGCGGUCCGGGUGGCAGGAUUAACCCCAGAGAAGACUGAAGGUCCUCCCACCUGCAGCCUUCAGUUUAAUCUGGGUAUUUUAACCCACCUUAUGCUCAGUGCUUUUGAGUUUAGAGCUUUUGAUAGGAAAGCGAGGGAAUAAAAAUAUCUUUGUGUGCAGGUUGUGUUUGCAAAAUCAGACACUUCCUCUCCCACUCGCUCUUGAACCGAACAGAUCCCUCCCACAAGAAAACUGGUGGAUCCUAGAGCUGGUCCCAACCCUGAUAAACAUGUCAAACCAAAAGAAGGGCUGCCAAAGCGAGGGGUAACAUGAGGGAGGGAAAUGGAUGUCAGCUGCCACUGGAGACCCAGUUUCUUGCCCCUGCUUUGACCGUGAAUAUCUGUGCCCUUGAUCAAGGAAGUUAAUUUUUUCUUUUUCUAAUAUUUUUCUUAAUAUGAACUUAAAUGCUUUGGUAUUAAACACAGAUUUUAUUGUCACGGAAAAAGACAACUAACAAAGAAAUAAAGGGGCUCUUAUGUCAUUCUGUAUGCUAUUCUAGAAAACAGAAGAGAAGGUAAUUAUUUCUUCAUAUAAACUGAGUCCAGCUAGCCAAUUGGUAUGAAAGACUGUGUAUUUCUGAAUUGAUGUAUUCAGUAAAUGAUCCUGGAAGUGUUGUUUUUUAGGUAUAAAGGUCAUUGCUUCCUCUUUUCCUUUGACCAAGAAGGAUAAUGGAGAACAUUUUAAAGAGAACUUAAAAUACAAUGUAACUGCGACUGCAUUUACUUUUUCCCAAGGUUAUGUAUUUUGGGGGUCAGGGGAAGAGAGAAGCAAAGGGGAGAGGGAAAAACAAAUGAUGCCAAGAGGGAUGAGUCAGACAUUACACAUGAUUGCUGGGAGUUUGGGCUUUCCACAUCAGCAAUCAGCUCCGUUCUGUUGGGAGAACAAGUCUGUUUUGAAGCCAUCUCAGAUGCCUGUUAGUCAUGUUUUCCAGCAGUGGAGGAGAACUAUCCCAGUCUCCAUGUGCCUUUCUUUCCAUCCUGGAACACUUGAAAUCUGUGUGAGUGGAGGGAGGAGGUGGGGAAGGGUCUGGGAGGACCUGCCACGCCAAGGUUCUGCUGUCAGUGACUUUGGCACCUGUGAGGACGAUGCUCCUUUCUGACCAGGGGCUGGAAGGAAAAUGUUAUCCAAAUGCAAAACAAAUAUUGGGGAUUUGAUCUAAUGUGGGUCAGAUGGCUUUAAUAUGUUUCAGAUGGGAAGAACUUAAUUAAUGUCGAACUUAAUUAUUUGUACUGGGCAGCUGGCAAAAAAAAAAAGCAUGAAUUUUUAAGAAAUAAACCGGCUUUCUGAAUAUCUGAGUGCAUGGGGGGAAAAUCUGAUUUGCAAGGAGAAGAGAUCUCCUCUGCAGUGCUACUGGCAGUCUUGUGCUUUGUGUAGGUGCUUUUAUUUAUUUUUUCCUUUAUGUAUCUUCUGUCAUGUAGCGUAUCUCUAGACAGCCUCUUUGUCUCUCUGAGCCCUGCACAAAAACAUUUAAUUGAAAAUGAAUGUAGAAACAUCUGAUAUUCAGUGGUGUUCAGAUUUUGGAUUCAGCCCGUCUGCUGAGCUCUGCGUUAUGCCAGUGGAAAAAUGCUGGCUGUGUUUCAUCACAUCUGACUGUUGACUAAGUUAGAUGCAUUUUGGCUGUUGCCAGAUGCACAAGAUACAGUGAAAUGAGCAUUUCCUGUAGCAAAUUAAGACUUGUUGGCUCUGUGACCGUAUUGGCUAAAACUGCUUGUUUGCACUGGGGAUUUGGCCAGAUUGUGCUGGUCAAUACAGGCAAUAAAGUGAGUUAGCAGAGGAGCUCUCCUGAUCCGGCUUGAAUUCUUAUUCUUCUAAUUAGUUAAGUUUGGGAAUUGUGGGCUUCACUUGUCACUACUGUCUGUGAUAUGGGUUCCAGAUACACCCACCAUCAAGCAAAGCCAAAUGCCUUAAGGCAUUUCUCAGCCAGGCUGAACCAGUGAAGAUAAGCCUCUCUGGAAGGGGGAGAUGCUGGGGGGGUGGUGCUGGCUGAAAUGGCUGAGGGAGCCAAAUCCCGAGCUGCUGUGAACUGAGGUCUUGCAGAGUCAAGAUCGCAUCCUGUUACUUUGGCUCCUUGCCCAGAGGCUCCUUGGUUUGCAGACAAACUGCCCACGGGCAUCGGUAGGCAGGGAGGAGAUCGGUUCCCAGUUGCAUCCUGUCCUAAGCUGGGGGUGCCUACCAGGCUAUGUUUCCAGGUCCUAUGUCUGUUUGCUUACUUAUUCCCAGAGUAGGUGCCUCUCUGGACCAUGGUAUGUUGUCCUGUAGCUGCUGCCCUGUGCACUAGGGUACCUGUUCUUUCUGGGAUCCCACAGGGAGCUGGGGUUCACUUUUCUAUGUCCAUCCAAGUGCUCAUCCAGGAGGCGGUGCCUAUCUCAGCUGGCAGAGGAGCGGCUGCAGCAAAUACAAGAAGCAAACAGGGAAAAUUGCCAAAGCCACUGAUGGGAACAGCAAGCAAGGAUCACAGGGAGAGAAGAGGAGCUGGGUUAAGGCAAUUCUGCCCCUCCUUUUGGAGCUGACUGGGAAUUUUCUGUUUUAAAAAGUUUUGAGUGCUCUAAGGGGCAGGCAAGAACAACAACAACAACACAGAUUUAUUGUGUACAAGCUCUGGUUGUGGUUGAGUGUCUGUAUCAGAGAAACCUUAGAAACUUGAGAGCAGUGAUGCCAUUGUAAAUACCUGACAUUUACUGAGUGUUAAAGGGGAGGGUGAUUUGCCUCCAGCCCUACUUGCUGGAGCCACCCAGCUCCGAGAGCUGGAGCAAAGGGACUUUUGCUUUGAGCUGGUGCUGCAGUUAAAACAUUACAAAAUGCUGACAGCCUGGAAAUGGUUUUGAAAGUACCCUGUCCUGGGUGACAGCGGGAUUGGGCCAGUCUCACUGCAUUUAGACAUCCAAAUGAGAAUCAUCCAAGGUAAUGUCCAUGAAUCCGCUAACAUCAGUGCAGAAAUACAAUGAUCUUUGAGCAGACUGUGUUAACCGUGCUGUUCAGACACCUGUUUUGAGAUGGAGGAGCCCACAGGGCUGGACCUGUGAAACGCUGUGCGCUGGGAGACCUGACCAAAGAUAAAGAUUUGGCCAUAUAUAAGAGAACAGCAAGGCUCCAGAGAGGUUUCUGUGUUAAGAGACUUCAUCCAAGCAUGAACCUUAGUUAACACCUCAACUGAAGCUCAGUUGUCCAAAUACUCUGUGUUUGCUGCUCUCCCUUGCUGAGGGAGAAAGGUGCAUACAGGAAUUAUGCAACUUCUCUUCUUCAGCUAACAUUGUGUGCAGAAAAAACAGCUGUAUUGCUGAACUGAGCGCAACCCUAGAUUGGACUUGUACCCAUGAAGUGAAGAGGGAUUGAUUCUGCCACCCCAAUAUAGCAGUUGAUAAAAGAUGGAGGUGCUGUAGAUGUGAAAUUUUCAGCUUUGUAGCAUGACAGGAGAGACACCAAAUCCUCCCUUUUCUCUCUGACAGUGCUGACACUGUCUUGUGAAAUGAGGGGAUACCAGAAAGUUGCAGUUCAGAGACUGGAGAUCUACAGCUGUCCCUCCUUGUGUCGCUGGGCACCACAUGGUAGCGGCACUGCAGAAGGCCAACAACCCUAUGCCUGAGCCAUCAUGCAGGGGGCAUUAUCUGCCUCGCACUUAUUAUCUUGUCAUAAGACAAAGGGGCUACAAAGUAGGUGCGUGUGAAGUGUCAACAGUGGCUCUGCAGGGAACAGAGAGCUUGGAAAGCCUGGGGAGAAAAUGCUGCACUAAUAAUGUAUGAGGCACAUAAGCUGUGCCUUGUUUAAAAGAGAUGCAUGGGUCCCUGAGGAGUGGAAUAAGUGGGGCACAGGGAGGGCUUGGGCCAAGUUGUGGUAUUGCUGUAUCUGUCUCCUUCAAAAGUGUUAACUGGUCGAAAGAAGGCAGCCCCUUAGGGAACACCUUAAAAAAAGAAAAAUGUCUGCAGUUAUCUGCCAUAACCAGAUCUCUUUGCUAUUCAAACCAAAGCUUAAGUUUUAUAACAGUAAAACUAACCCUCUUAUUUAAAAACAAAAAAUUAAAAAAAAACCAACUUGUAUUAUGUAGGGUUGUUGGAGGAAGGGUAUCUCUAUCGCAUUUGAUGACCUGUAUUAACACAGUAUCAAAACCCCUCAAAAUUCACCCAAUGGGGACUUCAUCGCUAUCUCACCCCAAAGCCCCAAAUCCUCAGGACCAGCCUAGAUCCCUUUUACCCCUGGAAAUAAUCCCAUGCAAAUCAAUUUACUUUCAUGAGUAGACUAAACAGGAUUUGUCAGUAAUUAGCAUGAAGUGGAACAGAUUGCAGGCAUGCUUAUCUCCUAAUGUGGAGGUGCAGCUGGUGCAGGCCGGGCCGUGCCGCUGCCCUUCAGGCCCGAGCCCACCAGGCCGCUCCGGCCCCAUGUCACCACAGAUUCCCUGGUACAUGCUGGGAGAACGCACACAUCUCUGAGUAGUGCACCAGGCCGAGAUGGUGCCAGACAAAACCUCAUGUGGGAUUAAACCUGGCCCUUUUUAUUUUUCCCAGUCACGGCACUGAAUCCAGAGAUUAAUGCCAUCUUGGUUGUUGUUAGUUAAGUUGCAUUUUUUUCAGAUUAAGGGCGGUGACUUUAAGUUUCAGAUUGAAGUUCAGAUUGAACUUCUUCUGACUGAGAUAGUGAAGCAUGUUUCAUCUAUGAUUUAUUACUUUUAAUACCUUACUAUUUAAUAUUUGAUUCCCCCUAUUGGCUUCAAGUAGCUCCUUUCUAACACUUGAAUCCCCCAAGUGGUAACAGUUUACUUACUGGACAGUUCUUCAUUUGUGCUUGUUAUGCUGUCAGGAUGAGGACAAUUUCAUUUUGCAGUUUGUGAAGGCAAGCCCUCUCUCAAAGUUAUCUUUAGAUGGGGCUGACCUUCUGUGUGCUGGGCAAACAUGAGGCGAUACUGGCCCCACACAUGUAUCGUCACACCAAGUGGGUUUUAUUUAACGUGCCAGCAUAUGCCAGCAGAGGAUGGUGCCCAGAUAGGUUUCUGUUGUGUUGUACAUGAAGUAUAUUUGGUUAUACUACCUCAACAUGGAUGGAAGCUUUUGGUUCGUUAAGCAUCUCCUAGUUCCAGGCCUACUUUGGCAGGGAUGGCAGCUGCCAUAUACAGGGAGGGAUUUCUCUCUCAUCUGAUACAGUGUAAAGGUGGGUUGUGGCCCUUUACACUGAAGGUAGUAAGAGUCUUUCAUCGUCUUUAUUUCUUUUUAUUUCAAUUAUAAUGCUCUACUAAAACCUGUUACAUGAUGGAUUCCAGCAGCUAUUCUGGUGAGGAUGUGCUGCACUUGUCCACACAACUCAUAGCUGUCAGAGUUAAGGUCACCUCUCAAGUAUGGAAUUUGGGAGUGAGGUCAGUAGAACAGCAUUAAAUUCACUCAUAAAAAAAAAAAAACAACAGGAAAAUGUAGCCUUUACAAAGGUUAGUUUUUGCUAGCAAAUGCACAGGGAAUAGAUGGAUAACAACAGCAUUUUAUGGUGCUUUUCAUUUCCAGUAUUUGAUGAAAGCUGUAGUUUCAAUAUUUAAGUCAGGACAUAAAAAGCCUUGGUCUUUCUCUGAAUGGAAUUAGUAGCAAAAUAACACUGAAUUUAACAGAAUUAAAUUUGGUCAGGGAUGAGUAAACCUAUAUUUCCAUUUCUGGUUUGGAAGCUGCUGGCUCUGAAGUUGGGGUUUUAAACAAAUGGAAAGGCAAUGUUGUGAGAUUUAUUUAGGCAGUAGAUGCAGUGAGCUGUUAACUGAGUUGGUUGAAACCAAGAAAACAAAAUUGGAUAUGUUUGAUAUAUUGGUAUAAACAGAGAAAAACAAAUCUGUUUGGUAAGUUGCAUACUGGUGUUCAUGUCAACCACACGCAUGUAUGUAGGGGUCUGUCAGCCUAAAGCCUGCCCAUAUUCUCUGUAGAUCUGAAGUACAUCUCAUGUACAGGUGGCAUAAACGUCGAUGCCCUCUGAUAGAGAAAGAAAAGAACCCAAACAGAGCUUAUGUGAUAGCUUGCGUUUGGGGGAAGAGUUGUUCGCGAGGCAGGAAAUGACCCAGCACUUAAUAUCUGGGUCUGGCCUUAGGAUUGGUUGCUGGUUUUUCAAUUUUGGUAAUCAUGAGCACUUAAUAUUCACAGCUAAACCUGCAAAUAACAGAAAGGAAAUUACAGGCAGAUUUCAAAUCUGCGUGCAGAAAUGAGCAAAACAAAAAUUUCAUGCUUCAUACUGGAUAACAUAAAUAUUUUAUUUAGCUUUAAGGACUAACCUUUGAAGUAAAAAGUGGCAGCUAGCUGAGAAAUGGCCUGGAGCUGAAAGACUUCUAUUUAAAGUAGAGUUUUAGAGAUUUUUUUCAUUUGGGUCACUUCACAUUUUUGAAAUACAAACACUGCUGGUUAUGUUUGUGGGCUCCCAAAUAUCCGUACAUCUAUCUAUACAAAGCUGUGAGCAGCGCCUGCCAGCAAUGCAGCAUUCAGCUCCUUUCACUAGUUCGGAAGUAUCCAAGCAACAGGACAGGCAUUGCAUCGCUUACGCCUUUCUCACCCCAAAUCCCAAAACAUCCAGGAGGAGCUUUUCAGACCGGGGCUGGUGCAGCCCCUGCCUCCUCCUGCAUCCAUUACUCCUGGGGUUGCGCGGCCUCACAAAAGCUGAUAAGACCAGCGAUAAAAGCGGUUUAAAGAAAAGCCCGGGACUACAAUGGAGCCGUUUUGAAAUGAAUGCAAAACAGAUGCCUCCCAAUAGUGAGGAGGUUGUGCCACAGCCAGAAGCCAAGCAGCCCAGGCUGCAGACAAUGCGGCUGAUUCAGCCAGCAUCCCGCUAGCCCUAAAUUCAUUGCGUUGCUGAAGAAAAAGGGGGAAGCAGAGGAGUGCGAACUGAGUGGCCUCUCUGGCCUGGCUCUUGGCUUUUUUGCAGCUUGUUGUUAAUAGUAAAUGAAGAGGAGGUUUGUGGAGAGGCAUCAACGUGCCCAGCUUUGCGCAAAUGUUCUCCCAUCGCUCCAGUGGGAAGAGCAGCCAGUGGGUAAGACUGGGCAAUGCAGAGUUUUGCUGUUCAGAUGUCCAUGGCUGGCGUGCUGGUGUGGUUUUUAGACAAAUGGCCCCUUCCAAUGGGACUGCCAUGUAGGAGGCACUCAGGAGCUGUGUACAUAAGGGAAUAACCCGCCCCAUCCUGCAUGGGGCCACAUGAGCACAGGGACAUCAGCAAAAUCUGCCGUUGCAGUCUGAGCCUCUCUAUUUGUAAGUAACAGCAAUCUCUGCUGUUAUCCCAAUUAUCCAUGUCUUCAUUGCCGUAAAAACCUCAGGACUGUUGCCCUUGUCAGUGGCUGGCAGACCUGCUGUAACGUUUGAUCUGUGGACAGGGAAAUGAUGUUUGUGUCGAUGCAUGGUCUGGCACAUCUGUCAGAUCCAGAUUAAUUUUGUGAAUGCUACUGCAGAGUUCAAAGCUGUUUCCUCUCUAAUUGCACUGAAACAGCCGUAAACUUUGUGAAGACAGUCGUAAAAUUCUAAGACCAGCACUACUUAGCACAGGAAUGAGUUAAUUUAUGUACUGAUCUUAUUUAUUUACAGACCACUUGCAAAGCACUUGCCAAAUUUCUCGUGUUUUGCCCAAAUCCAAAACUGAGGAACAAAUGGCAAAAUGCUCACAUCCACCACUCUGUCUGAGCUGCAGUCGGUGCAGCUCUGCGUGCUGUGUGCCUGCCACACGCUGCUGCGCCCCAUAGCCAAGUUUUGCGUCCAGGUUUACAAACCCUUGCACUGGGACUUAAAAAUGGAAUUUCCAAACAGCCCCAGCCAUGUCUGAGUGGCGGCUCUGUCGGAAUAGGAAACUCGCAGACAACUGCUCCUGCUGCUGCUGUGCGGCGCCCGGCAUGGGGCUGCCCUCUCAGCAGGACCAUGUGUCUGUGCAGGCUGUAAUGAGACGGAGCUCUGCCUAGUUUUGUUUAUGAGCGAAGGGCAGGGCUUGGAAAAAGAAGUCCACUUGCUAGCGGUGAGUAAAGCUGCGCUGUUUGACCAAAAAGGGAGAUUAAGAUUAAGGCAUAAAUUCACUCUGCUUUUCUUCUUUAAAAAAAAAAAAAAAAGUUUUAAUUAAAAAGAGGAAGGUCUGGCCUUUCAGUGCCAAGACAGCCUUUCAAAUUAAUUUAAAAAGCAUUAGUGAGUUCUGCUGAGGUCUACAAGUAGAUGACUCUUCUGUCACCACUGCUACUCAUUCCGUUCCUGAGAAGCAAGAAAGCCAAACUGAUAAAAUGCUGCCAUCUGAUACAGCUUUGAGACCUAGAAUUUAACAGGACAUUUACUGGGCAAGCAAAAAAAGGGAAAAAAUCACCUUGUUGAAACUGUAGGCAUGACAAAUUGGAGUGUGUAUGGGAACUGUGGAUGGAGCAGAAGAGCAGAGGGAUUGCAGUACAGGAUAGGCUUCCACAGUGGUCCCCAGCAAUUCCUCUAAAGAAGUGGAAGACCAGUGGCACAAUUCUGCCUGUGGUUUGUCGUGUGCAUCUCAUCUGAGUGAAGGGUGAAGCAAUUCCCAUGCCGUGGGAGCAGCCCCAGCUCACUCUUUCCUUCCAGCAGCUGGAUAAAAAUAAUUUUAUAGAGAGACCUUUUCUCUAAUAAAUAGCAAAGCAAUCUCAUAAAGAAAGUAGCAUGCUUUUUAGACUCGGUAACCAUAUUGAAUUAAAUGUUAGGCACACCGUAAUUACAUUUCCCUGUCAGUUGUAUUAAUGUGAAUUUCUUUGAUUAAUUUUUCAAGUUAGUUGGCAUUAAGUGGACAGGAAGCUGAAGAUCCCCUCUGGACCUCCUGGGCCAGGUCAUGCAAGGAGAGCAGUGGGCUUGGUGCCGUGCCAUUGACUCAGCCACUUCGAUGCGAGACUCGGGUCCCAGCCUUUGGUACAUCUGCAGUCACUGCAUGUAGCUCACCAGGGUUGGUUUCUGCUUCACUAAAAGUUUCCCGUUCCUUGUGCUGGCACCACUGAGGCCGAGUUCACCUUUUGAGGAGCAGAAAUCCUAUCUCAGCCACAUGCAGAGCGCUGCUCAGACAGGUACGGGACGGCAGCUGCUGCACCGGUGAUCUCACACCGCUCAGCACCAAGCACCAUGAAACCAGAGGAUGUUGAUAUGGGAGCCCAACCUUCCUUCCCCCUGUCAAUCCAAUGCUUGCAGCUCUUUUAGAGAGGAAGCUGCAGCAGCCCUCGGCAUGGGGAGCUGUGCAUUACAGCUGGGCUACCCUGUGCUCAGUGCCUGCAGACUUUGUGUUAAGGCUCCCUUCCCAAUUCAUCCCUCAGACAUCUGCGUUAGCUCACGAGGCACAGGGAGUCCUGUCCUGGAGCGAGUGUGAGGUAGGGAUGGACUGAAGCGAGCUCACUUAAAUAGGGACCCUUCUUCUUGUGUAAAUCAGCUUGGAUUACAGGGAUCCAAAUAAACAGUUGUAGAUGCAUACAUCCUGCAGCACUCUGUUUCUAUUACACAGCUCUGGGGAGAUGAAGAGAGUCUGCUUAGUAUCUGCUCAGAAGGAAGAAAUGGGAGCAGGGCUGUGGAAGAAUUUUUCAAGAUUGGGAGCCUGUUUCAUGUUACAGUGGCCUGCCAAAUUUGGUACAAAUUUUCUUAGAUACUGGUUCCUGUGUACAAUCCAUGAGCAUUUAACGCCAGUGAAGCCAGGGGAUGCACUGAGCUUCUGUUCCCAAUGCAUGUAGCUUUUGCUCUCCCUUCCUAAAGAUCAGUUUUUUAGGGCAGUUUCAAAAAAAGCUCAAAAACACAUACAGUAGAGAACUGAGAAGAAUGGGAAGCACUGUGUAGGAAGUUUGAACAUAUACAAGCUUAUUUCCCUUCUCUACUCUUACCAUCUUACUCCCCUCCUGAUUUCAGCAUGCUACAAAGCAUGCGCAGUAGCAAAGCAGAAGUUACAGGGGAAGCUCCAAGCACCCGGCUUGUGGACAGCAUCAGUCCCUCUGUGCUCUGUGUCCUUUUUACACUGCUCAGUAGUGCAGGAAGGACACUGCACUGCACAUGGGCCAGUUUUUAGUUCAGUCUUAAUUAUAUAUAUAUAAAACACAACUGCUAACUAUGCAUCUCUUUCACGCUUCUCAACAGCCUAAAUCUGUUCUUUGGAUCAAAUUCUGUCUUCCCUAGGGAAGAAGAGAAAUUGGCUCUGUUCCACUUUGAAGGGGAAGAAAAAGUUUUUGGGGGAAAUCCACUUGCCUUAGGGAUCUAAUGAGUUGAAACUAUCUUGAAAUACUUGUGAUUUAGAUCAUAAUGAAUGCUAAUGCUUCUAGUUAAAAGGUUCUCCAGUGCAUCAAGUCGGGAGGCUGCUGGGUGGUGCAGACAGCAGCAGGCUGUGCCUGGCUGACCCACGGUGCUUCCAGCAUGCCCAGGGUGCUGGAACACACUGCGUGAGAAGCGGCACUGGGAAACUUCUGGCACUUGUCAGCAGCUGCACAGGGCUGGGUGCUUUUGCAGUCUGUGUUUUUCUGUAGGUAUCGGCUGGAUAACACUCGGUAACCUUCAGAUCAGCUCCAGAUCAUACCCCUUGUAUUCUCUCCAAGGAAACACAGACACGCUGCUAGAGGCAGCCCGCCGUAGGAAAAGCUGAGUUAUUCAGGCAGCAGCGUGCCUUAGGAAAAGAGCUGCAGCAUUUUCUUGGGGAAAGUCUGAUUCAUCACUUGUCUGCAUGCCUGGACAAGAAGAGGGUCAUAUUUCUGCUAGGCACCGGUGCGGGGGGAGGGUGCUCCGAACUUGAUUUAUCAACUAGGGGAGAUGAAUUAGAACCCUCAGGGGAGGGAAAACUUCACAGAAACCGAAAUAUUUUUACAUUGCAGAUGAUUGUGGCCUCCAGACUUUUUCUUGUAUGGCAUUUAUGCAAGCACACAUUCCAAAACAAAAUUAAACAAACAGUCCCUUGAAGACUCCUAAUUAGCCACUUUGCUCAAUACUCAAUUAGAAUAACUGGGUAGGUAAAAUAUGACUGCAGUGCGGAGAUUUUCAUUUGAAGUUGCAGUCCGUAAGUAAUGUUUAGGAACAAGUUAGAGUUCAUCAAUGAAUGCGUUUCGCUCAGAGCAAAGAGGCUGCAGGAGGGGAGGGUGAGGCGCUGUAAACCUGACGAGGGCUGGUAAUUUAAAGCAGAGGCCCAGAGUUCAGAAGAUCUGGAAAGAUCGUGCCUCUGCCAGAAACCUUGAUGUGACCCCAGGCAAGUCGCUUCACCUCUCUGUGCCUUAUCUCAAUAAAUAUCUCUGUUUCCUACCUGUGAAAUAAAGAUAAUGCUCAUACGUGUUCUGAAUCUUGAAUGUUAAUAAAGUACAUAGAAAUUACCAGGCAAGAAGUCCUCCAGAAGAACAGGUUCUGAGUCAUAUAUGUUUGUACAGCACUCAAUGGCUACACAUUCCUUUUUUACUAAGCCACUUGCAAAUACUUACGCUGUUUAGACUUAUUUCGUUUAUCCUCCUGGUGAGGAGGACAGACCUGGACGAAGUGUUUGGAUUCAGACUGUCUCAGUGCUCACAGGAGGGAGAGCGGCUGGUUUCUCCAUGCGGCCGGAGCUCUCUAAAGGGCUUGUGGUUGUCAGCUGCACAGCAAGGAUGCAUCGCUUGGAGCCUCACACCAGAGCCCGGGUCUGAUGUGAGAUUCUGUGGCUAGAACUCGUUCCUAUCAAAGCACGAUAACGAGCAUCAAACAAACUCCACUACUUAGAAAUUACCAGCUCUGUGUGUCUGGUUUAGUUUUGUUUCCAUGAAAGGGCACAACUCUCACAACUAGUAAAUUAUGUAGUUUCUACUGAUACCAUCUGUACUCUGCUAGUAGCUGGUGGUUUUAGCUGACUGUUCAGUUUCUCAUUGCAGAGAGAGAAUUACCUAGAAGUGCUAACGAAUUAGGUUUGUCUUCUCCCCACCCCACAGCUCUAGCCCCUCCUGUGGUUACAUUGAAGUGUCUGCUUUGUGCUUCCUCCUGCUUUACUGUCAGGAAAACUGAAGACUUCACCCAGGGAUUCCUCCUGUUGUGUCCCAGGUGAGGUAAAAUGCCAAACGUUCAAGAAAAGAUUAGAGAGGAAAGCCUGCACUCUUCUUAGAAAAAGGCAGGCAAAGUUGGAUGCACUUCUAAUUAGAGGUGUUAAAGCCCUGGCUUAGCUUUAUAUUAAAGAAUUAAUACCAUCGCAUUAAAAAAACUAAUAUUGAAAGAAAGGUUUUGCCAAAAAUAAAUACAAAAUGUUGUCUUGAUUUAUUACAAAAUCCAAAGUUUUAAAAAGGGUUCUUUUAAAAGCCUUGAGAAGUUUUCCAUCUAGCUCAGGUGCACACUUCGGUUGGGUGCAGUAUCUUCUAUCUGUAUUCCUCAGCAUCAGGGCACCUCGGAGACUAAGAUCUUCUUGAAAAUAGCUUGCAGUACAGCUUUUGACUUCGAUCAUGCAUUUCUGCAUGUGAACUGACCAACAGAAGCCAACGGCUGUAGAAGGACUGAAGCCACAAAGAUUGGAAACGCAGGUUUGCAUGGGCUGCUUGUGCCCUUCCAGGUUUUUGCGUUGUUCACGGCGUAGGAACAUUCGAUGGUCCCUACAGACAUAUAGCUUCGAUUCAAAAGCAACAUGAUGAGUCUUGAAGGCUGCUCUGGAACAUUCUAAAAGGCUUUGCUUCUCAAAGGUUGGGUGGACAGGAUUUGGGAAACCGUGUCACUGUGUCACAGGGUCCUGGAUUUGGGACAACCAAAAAUAAAUAAAUAAAAACCAAUGAAGAAAGUGAAAGUGUAGAACGGGAAAGGAGAAAAUGUAGGAUGUGCGCCACAUGUACUUUUCCUACCUCUAGUUGCAAAACCUAAAUCAGGUAUUAUUCCUGCAGAGACCUUCAAACAGGUCAUUAGAAACAACCCAGCAAUUAUGAGUCUCUUUAUUGUAAAUUUUAAUUUAAAAUGGCACUUGCAUAAUUUUCCAAAUGUGUUGGAGCCUUUGUAAAACUUACUUCAGUCGCUUUUUUUUUUCAAAAGGAGUCAGGUGAUAUGUCUUUUGUUAUCUUCCUGAUUAAAUCUCUCCAUGCUGGGGAGAAUUAUCAUUUCCUUCCCAGCCUCCCCUUGUCUUUUUAAAAGACCAAUAGGUAAUUUUACUAACUUAGAUAAGGAAUUUCAUUAUUACUGAGAAGCCAAUUAUCUGUCAAGAUGUUACUGCAAUAUUAUUAGAAAACUGGAUACUUAAGCAGCAGGUAGGUUUUUUUUGUAUUUCCUGCAUAACUAUCAUACGCUAUGUUUUGAUUAGUUCCUAAUGAUACCAAGAAUGUUUUAAACAAAUACUCAGCCUGUGCGAAUGAAAAACAUUUUGCUUCUUCAGUUGCACUUGUGCAGCAAUGGUAAUUAAUACAUCUUGGAAUAUUCAGACUACACCUGAUUAAAUCAAAGUGCACCAGAGAGGGCUUUAUAAGUAAUCUUUCCAAGAACCCUGCUGUGAGAGAGCUAGGGAAGAAAAGGAAAUGUGUGUUGGACAGCAUCAUUGUGACUGAAGGUGUGUAUGGGCAAUGGAGUUGCACCUACUGAUUCCCGUGCCCAUAACCCUGGUCCUACCUUGGACCUUCCCUGGUGAGUGGCAGCAACCCAAUUUUCCAUAAUUUUUAUGACAGAAACAGGCUUUGCAGCCGUGGGCCCAGCAAACUGGCUGAAUCCUGUGGAAUGGCCAUUUGCUUGGUUUACCCUACAGCAAUGUCGCUUGUCCUGGUAGAGGACAGCCUCUCUCAAAGAGCAGUCCCACCACCGAAGUGCUUAUGUCUCAGCUGUCUGUUCCCAGUAUGACCCUCACUGGUUGGUACUGGUCCUGCUCUCUGGUACAUAUUUGCCUUACAACCUUUGGCAUAAAGGAUGUGCCAGGGGGCUUGGAUUGAGCUGCUGUGAGGGGUUGUCUCCUGAGGAUCAUCACCCAGGCUUACUUCCAAGUAGCCUCUGGGAUUAAAGAAUCUUAAAUCCUGGCCUCUGCUAGUUAGUGUAGCCAAUCUCAGUGAUGUAAAAUUUGCAAGCCAGAAACAGAAGUUAGUUUGGGUUUUGAGUUAAACGUGUUUUAACUUGGCCUGCGCCCUUUCUGGAGGCUGGGGUUAAGGUGUGGGUAAAGAAAGGGAUGCAGCAGUGGCAGAGUUCUGCCAGCCCCACAGCAGAUGAUGUUACACAUGAACUGGUUGGAUCCUAUUUUACAGGAAUUUAUUGUAAUUGCAUGAGUUUAGAGGAACGAGAUAGCUGUUUUUCAGCUGAUGUCUUUCACGCUUGUCAGCCAGCUUCACUCUUUCCUCGGUGUCGUCAGCUUCCCCUUGUUGUUUGCAUGGAUCUUUCCUAUAGCUACAGGAAGCAGGUUCUUAAAAGUAGGAAAAUGUGAUGUCAAAACAGCGAAAAGCUUGGCAAGGUAGCUAAGGCACAGGGGUUGGGGCAGGUUUCAGGGCGGCCCAUGUCUAUUUCUGUAGGGCUGUCCUUUGCUGCUCUCUAUGCUGGAUGGCUGUUAGCAGGCGCUAGCCUUGAACGCUGUGCAAUUGCAAAAUCUCAUUUUCUGUGUGUGUUUGGGCAUGUCAGCAGGCCUUUGAAGAUUUAUUAAUAACAGAUUAUACUCUUUUUAAGAGGUGUUUUCAGUUCCUGGAUUGGGUGGGGGAGCAGUCCGUUUGCACCACCCACACCUCGCUGUCUCAACCAACUCACUCCGACUCCUUUUAUAACAAAACCACGCCAAACUGGCACCGUGUCCCCCCUCGGUGAGCAGUCACUGAGCAGAGCACCCGUUGUGCUCCUCGUGGGGCUGGGUUUCACACAAGCUGCUGCUCACCGCAGGAGCUGCUCACCCGCCUUGUGCUGCAGAGCUACAGCUCUGCCGUGGGGAACAGCUUUGGGAUUUGGGAGGUCAGCGCCCUGCUCUUUUGGCUUUGCUGGUCACCGAGUGUUUGGGCAGAUUUUUUUCUACUUUGAAAGCUGGAGGGCAAAUUAGAGUAGGUCACCAUCAGUCGGACCAGUCCAUCUGCCUGUAGAUAGGGAAAGAAAGGCUUUCUUCAACUCCAGUACACUCAGCUGAGAUACAGUUUGCUCUUUCACUGCUAAUCAAGCGCAGUCAAUACUCCUGUUAACUCCUCCUGCAUGAAAUAAAGAAACAGCAGAGUGAAGGAGGGGUGCUCAAAUACCAGCAAGUGCUGGGGAGCCAGCCUGCCUUGUGCUCUUCCCAAGUUCUACCUUCUUAAAUCUGCUGCCUGCAGAAAUGGUUGCCACAGAACACACAAAUCUUGGAUCUCUCUGGAUUUUCUGUGGGAAAGUAACUUGGGACCUCAAACUUUGACAUUUUUUUAUAUAUUCUAGCCUGUGGCAAUCCCAGCUUCACAAAAGCAAUUUCACAGGGAAGUUUGGCCACAACUGGCAUUUCUGUCCAUCAGUGUAGUUAAUUUACAUUUUUUAGUAUAUUUUGAUUGUGGUUAAAUAGCUGGUAAUCAUGUGCAGGUGGUAGAUUUUGAGUGUGAUCUUCAUUACUUCUGGCAGGGAAGGAAGAAGCUAUCUUCAUGAAUAAAUGCUCUCUCCCGAACUUACAAACUGAGAUUCCAACUUUGUGGGAAAGAGAGUUUCUUUUCUCAGUCCAUGGUUCAUAUCUAAGACUUGUCCUUUUUAGGACACACAUACUAAAUACACUUUUAAUCUCACAAUAUGCCCAGGUGUUCAUUUUCUUUUUUCUCUCCGUUCUGAAGCUGUAAGUAAUUCUGGACUCAUUCCAUCCACCUGGUUGAGUGCUUUUCUUUAUUCUUGAUUUCUGUUUUUCUCUUUCCCCAUCUCCCCUGCGUUUCAUUUCCUAAGCUUUUCUGCCAGAGCAGCUUUUUAUUUCAGUCACCUCUGGGAACGGAGUGGACAUAAUGAGCUGGGUAUUUGAUUUGGGCCCCAAGGGGGAAUCAGGUGUGGCAGGGAGUGAGACUGGGGACAGCUGUGGCCCGGUGCCCAUGGGCACCGGGCAGCCGGGAGGUGGGAACCUGGGACUUCUGCAGUCACUUAUGGUCCACAAAGCAGGCAGGGACCCACAGUAGCACUUCCCUGCAGUUUGGCUGGGGAGUUCUGUCAGGAACAGAUACAUUUCUGCACUGGAGAUCUGCACUCUGCCAUCCUGGCUAAUCAAGAUCGCUGAUGAAACAUUUAUUUGUCAGACUGGGAUGUUUAGCUAAAUAUAGGAAUGCAUUUCUGCAGUGUGAAGACAAACAUCAAGGAUCUUGGCGUGGGAUAAUGUCAGCAAUUGCCACGCAAUAGAAGUCUCGUCAGACACAAACCAUUACCCUUCCCGGGAUCCAAGGAGCUGCUGUGCAGGGUGAUGCGGCUUUGUUUGUUUCUUUGUUUGUUCUGCCCUGGGAUGUUGCUACCUGUAUCGCCACUCUCUCCUUGGCCUCUCUGGUGGAGCAGGACUUCAUUUCCAUAAGAAUCCCAGAGCAACAACACACAUGUGCAAGAAAUGAUCUGGUUUCUGGCCCUGGGACAAGAAUAAGUCUUGCCUUGAUCUCAUUUGUCUAAGCUGCUGUUGAAAACUUCCAUGUAGUUAAUAUUGCAGCAGGUUCAGGAAGCCUUGUUCCAGUGUUUCUCUACCCUUAAUAUUGAGUUAUUUGUUCCCUUGGAUCCCAAAUAAAAUGUGUUUUGUUGCAAUUGGAGAUGGUUUAGUCUGUCCCCCACUGGAUAUAGGAAUCUUCAACUUAUAAGUUUAAAUUCAAUUUCUGUUCAGCUUUCUUCUCCAUUUUGCAGUCCUCUCUUAUUUUAGACAAUGUACAUCUAAUUCUGUUAUCCUUUGAUCAUUGGGCAAAUUUAUUGAAUCUAUUGUGUCUUCUAUUCUUCUGCUCAGGGGCUGGUCUAUUUUAGAUCUGCCUGCUGUUGUAUGUGUCUGCAAAUGCCUUGUCUGAGCCCGAACACAGGAAUGUGGCUGGGCAAUUAUCUCCCAGUUUUUAAGCAUGCCACCCCUUUUCCUAAAAAUCAAGGUUUUGUUUCUUAAAACGGCAUUUCUUUGUUGACUCAUGUUUAUGCUGUGAUCUGCCAUGAUCCCCAGAUUCUCAUUCCUUGUUUUGUGUUUCUGUGUCAGCGUUUGCUUCCAGAGUAUGUUAUUUAGUUUGUUAAUUAGCUCUUCUGAGUGUACCAAGUUCUUUGGAUUCAAGAGUAGCUCAUAUUUUCCCGUGUGAAGUUUUUUUUCCCUCUUUAUCCCUUCUUUCUUCUGUUGCUAUGUGAAAGACAACACACAGAAAACAAAGAAACCGCCAGAUAUUCAGAAGAAAUGGGGAAGCAGAGUAUACACAAAAUAAACAGGCUGAGAAAAAGAGACAAUUAUUUGUCCUUUUUCAGCUGUGGUAAUUUUAUUUUCAUUCUUAAGAAUUGCAGGGGAAGCAGAUAUCAAACAUGCAAUUUUUUAAGAAAUCAAGUGUAAAUUGAGUGAGCACAUUAAAAAAAAGUCAAAAAUGAGCCAGGAAAAGCUGGAAGGCGCUGUUAGAUACAUCACUUCGUAUUUCAAGGGAUGAUGGUGUGAUUUAGCCAGCAAGAAAUGGCCAGAGCUGCUUUUGUAAAUGUGAUGGAUAGUAGAAUAAUUCACAGUUGACUUUCAUUUUUCAAUUCAAAUAUGUUUGCACAUGAAUUACCGUUUGGCCUGGGUAUAUUAAAACAUCAUCUUCCUGGAUAAAUAGAUAGAUCAAUGCAUUCAAUGUUAAUCAUGUCUUGAAAUUCAUUUUAACUGGGAAUCAUGAAACUGAAGCCUUCUAAACACACACAUUUCUCAGUAAUUUCGGUUUGAAAUUCAACCAGGAAAUGGAGAGUUAAUGUGGAUGGCUUCUACGGUGUUAUCAGAGAGAAACAUUGGGAUGGGAUGAGCUGAUUCCAGUCCAAACAUUCUGAAAUUCCAACCCGAGUGGACGGCAGCCUCAGCAAGCGCUGUCUGAUACCGCAGCAUCGCUGUGAUCGGCCAAUGUAAGCUCUUCAAAUGUCUCGUGAAGCAAAUAAAUUUUACUGGGAAAAUUUUAGGAAAGAAUAGCUUGCGGCUUUCAUGCCAAGGUGAAUGUUUCACUUUGAGCCAAGAUUUGUAACGGGGGUGUUUUUGCUUCCUCAUAUGUCUGAGUGCUGCUCGCAAAGCACUGCGCUCUCCUCUCAAAAUGCAGCCCUUGUCUGGGAGUAGGACAUGAGUGCUGCAUUGUGGGAAAUCACCCCCGGAAAGGACAGGGCUUGGCAGACCAGCACCCAGUGACUGGGGUGGGGAGGGCAGGAACCUUCUUGAGUUUGAGAUUUUCCUUCUCUCUUCUCGGCUCCAUUUUCCUUACCCACCUGAUGUGGGGUGACCCCAGUGUGGAGGGAUCAGCGGUUGGGUGCGUGUCCCUCAGUCCCGCUGUCCUCAGCCAGCCCACCCCCAUUCCCACUGCUGGAGAGGAGCUUCCAAACAGAGCUGCUGGCAUUGUGACCCUGAGCUAGCAUUGCUGUUUACCCUUUUGUUCCCCUUCGUCCUUCACACGGAGGCAAGAAUUUAUGAAUGCUCAUGGGCUGCUACAGCAAGCAUCAGGAGGAGAGGUCAUCCAAAGUUUGGAGGGUUGCUAAUUAGCUUUUUUCUUCAUGAAUUAGUCAAAGCUAAUUAGUGUCUGUCUUUACAGAGGUUCUGAAGCAAAAACAAGAAGGGAGCAGUUAAGCCAGGGAUGUUAAAGCACCCUUGUGAGAUAGCAGCGUGUGCAGACAUGGACGCCUCAUGCUUGGCCCCUGGUUGGGUGAGGUUCACUUGCUGCCACCCAAUGGCUGGCUCUGAAGUGGAGCACCAUGCUCGGGGAGGCUCCCAGCUGGACUGCUGGGGCAGGAUGGAGCAGCCACACUCUCUGUGUAUCAACCCUGGGCUUCUUUCAGGGCAACGUAGCCAAAAAGCCAACUGGAUCCAGGCACCCCUGAUCCAUAUGGCAAGGCACUGCUGAGGCAUGGAAAGAAAUGAGGAUUUGUAGUGUUUACUCGUUGAAUUUACAAGGAAAAAAAAUGCCAGGAUUUAAAACUGCCCUGUUGGGAAUAUUUUUCCAUUUUUAAUUAUAAGUUAGAAUACAAAUAGGCCAAAGUCACUUUGGCUGCUGUUGUAAACUGCAGUGCCCCCAAAAAGCUCUGUAUGAUAGCUUGUGUGUUGAGAACAUGUAGAACGUCUUGGGAACCACCAACUGAGGAGAAGAAGGUGGAGGAGCACUAGUACAGGCUGCCCUCAGAAGCUGUGCAUGUUCCAUCCUGGCUGGAUGGGGCUUUGAGCAACCUGGCCUAGUGGGAGGUGUCCCCGCCUGUAGCCCAGGGUUGGAACUAGGUGAUCUUAAAGGUCACUUUGAACCCAAACCAGUCUGUGAUCCUAUGAUUCUAUGCCUGGAGGCAUUCAAAGCCAGGUUGCACGGGGCCCUGGGCAGCCUCAUCUGCUGGGUGGCAACCACUGCAGGGCAGUGGGUUGGAACUAGAUGGUUUUUAAGGUCCCUUUCAACCCAAAUCAUUCUGUGGUUCUGUGACUCUAUGAGAAGGGGAAGAGGGCAAAGGAUGGAGCUCACUCCCAGCUCCACUGUCUGCUUGGGCUUACCACCUUGCUGCCAGGGUCAUCCUUCUCCUUUGUUAGCACUGGGGUGUUGCAGCCCUUCCCUCUCCCAGCAUUAAUUACUGAUCACAGAAAGCUUUUUUACACAGGGAGCACUGAAUAAUCCCUGUCGCUCUCCUACACCACACUCUUCUAUCUUACUCUUUACUUCUGGACUGCUGCUGUCACAGAGGUUGUCACAUCGGGAAGAUGGCCAUCUACAGCUGUCAGCUGAGAGAGACCAUUUUAAUUACAUUAUUUUGUUCCAGAUCAAGUCACACUUUUCAACAUGCUGAGAUUUGCUGCUCGGCAUGUGGACUUUCAGGUCGCUGUGCUGAGUACAGUAGGAGCACCCACCUGGCAGUAUGGGGCUGGCGUGUUUGGGUCCCCAGUAGAGCUCAGGUAGCGGUGUGAGAAAUCUAUAUUAUCAUUUGGGUAUAUGUGGUAUUAAAAAUUGGCUUUGAGUAUUAAAUACAUGAUGCUCCUGAAACAUUCUAAUAUACUCUUUACUGUCUGGCACUGAUGAUGCUUAAAUUUUACUUACCUACACAAGGUAUUUUUGUUGAGAAUAGCUGAUUUCUAAUGAGCAGUAAGUUCAGGAACGUUAACCAGAUAACCAGAUAUCAGGAAUAUUGGCCUUUAAAGUUUCUCCACUGCUCUCACUGAGUAUGUAUGACAGUCCCUCAGAAACUUCCUUGAGGUCAUUUAAUUAAUCGAGCGGUGUAGUUUCAUGUUGGACAUCUACUAGCUGGGAGGAGGGUUGGGCUGGAUUUGAAAUAUUCCCUGCGCUUAAAAUUUAUCAGAGAUGGAAAUGACUGAUUCAGAUGCAGCAGAGAGCAGACCUCAGGCAGAAGGGUGGAGGGAAGCAGGAGUAUGCGGCUCUUCGUGGUACGGCAUCCAUGCACAGUCAUGGGUCUGAGUCACUUGGAGCGGGCUGUUCUUACAAACCAAUAGGGUUCUCCUUGACCUGUGUGCAUUCCGUAGCCCUGGGUCUUUGCAGUUUCUGUUCUCUGUGUGUCUUUCACAUAUUCAGCUGGAGGUCAGUGAGGCCAGUGUCAGCCUGGAGCUCCGCUCCCUUUGAAGUCAGUAGUGUUUCCUCUGUGUUUGUGUCUGUGCAGCUGAGAUCCAAAUCCAGUACAAGGUGAUGGGAGCUUUUUUGCCCCUUUUUUGUGGUUUUUGUUACUGGAGUGCUGCUACUUGCAGAACACAUUCUGUUUCACUGGUACCUAAAUAGACACAGAUGUUUUUCUUGCACAGAGUUUUCCAUUUUAUGCAGAAGUUAACACGAUUUCAUAAGUCAGGCUUCUCUGAGUCAUUUUGAGUUUCUGUGUUUACAAGGGAUUCUUGUAAAUUCACAAACACUCUCCAGCCACCCCUCCAAAAGGCUUUAAUGCAAAUGCUUUGUAAUGUGCUGCCGAGUUCCCCCUGCCCUCCUCCUCACUUACCACUUCCUACAUCUUAAAAGAGCUCGAGAGCUCUUGAUACCUAUUGAAAAAGUUCCUGGUGAGUUUUUAUAGCAAGAGCUGGUUUUUGUUUUGUUUUUCUUUUUUUUUUUUUUUUUCUGUAUUUUUAAUGUGUGUGCUUUUCCUCUUUUUUCCCUGACACGUUCUCGCUGCUCAGCCUCCCGUGCUGAGCAGGGACAGGCAUCUGCAGGAGAGUGGCUCUGGGCUGGCGGGGCUGGUACUGGGCUGCUUUCUGGCCACACAUUUCACACAGCUCAUGCUAAUAGCUGGUUAACUGGAUGAGAUCACUUCAGUACCUAAUCCCAAUAGCCUUAUCUUACUGAGAUCAGUUUGCAAUUAGAACGAAACAUGUUCCAGUGGAGACGCGGUUAAGCGCGUUAAACCACGCCGGCCCUCGGUGGGAAUCCUGGUGGCGGCUGCAGGCCCGUCCUGGCCCUUCUGGUUUGGUGCUGGUGUCCCCCUGCCCUGAACCGCCCUUUCACCGGGGAGAGCUGGUGCCUCUGGAGAUUGCUGGGGCCAUUUUGGCCUCAUGUAAAUUAGGUGCUUCGGGGCUCUGCUCAGCACCGGUGAGGCCGUACCUGGUGUGCUGUGUUCAGCUCUGGGCCUCCCAGUACAAAGGAAACCUAGACAUACUGGAGUCCAGCAGAGGGCCACCAAGAUGGUGGAGGGCCUGGAGCACCUCUGCUGUGAAGAGACGCUGAAAGAGCUGGGACUGCUCUGCCUGGAGAAGAGAAGGCUCAGGGGGAUCCCAUCGCUGUGCAUAAAUACUUGAAGGGCGAUGGCAGAGGGGUGCCCAGUGCCAGGACAAGAGGCAGUGGGCACAAACUUGGACACAGGAGGUUCCCCCUGAACAUCAGGUAGCACUUCUGUGUUGUGCGGAUGGCUGAGCACUGGCACGAGUUGCCCAGAGGUUGUGGAUUUUCCUCCUUGGAGAUCUCCAAAAGCUGCCUGGAUAUGGCCCUGGUUCCCCUGCUCUGGGUGUCCUGCUGGAGCAGGGUCUGGUCCUGAUGGACCUAGAGGUCCCUCCCUGCCUCUGCCAUUCUGUGUUUCUGGUGACUCUGUGAGGCACUGAGCCGCACACAGGGACUGCCUGCUUUCUGCUCUGAGUGCUGGGAUUGUCUUUCCCGGUGCUCAGGAAUCACUUCUGUGAUUCCAUCCCCAGUAAACAGGUCCAAGCACAGGGGAAGGCUCCCGGGCCCCUGCCAGGGAGCUGUCUAUGGGGCUUGUGCCCCUGUCAAGGUGCAGUGCAUCCCUUCCCCACCAGGAAUGCUUUGCUGCAGUGCAUUGCUUGGGCAGGAGGAGCUGAUUAAUCCCUCUGGAUGCCUAAGUCUAGACAGAAGCAGAAACAUUUUAGGCAUGUUCUAUUUCACUGUUGUUUUCUUUUAAUCCCGAGGAGUGCCAGAUGAGGCUGCAUCCUGUGGAUGCACGUUCCAGCUGGUUCUGCUGUUGGAGCGGAGCAGCAGAGGAUGCCCUCCUCUCCUGGGCUUUGCAGAGACCUGGCAGAGCCUGGGAGUGGCCUUGUAUGGCUUGUAGCUGCCUGCCCCCCACCGCUUGGCUUUCAUGCACCUGACACUGUUCUUCUGUCCUCAUACUAGGGGUCCUGGGUGCAUGGAAGUCCUUUGUGCCUUUUAGAUUACCCCUCCUAACUGUUUCCUGUGCAGAUCUCCUUUUUAAAGCACUUCGUGUGCUUAUUUGAAAGGCAAGUAAGGACCAAAUAAUGGAGGACUGUUAAAAAAAAAAAAAAAAAAAAAAAAAAAA